rnacentral:lncRNA from 1 species
UUGAAGGAUCGAGGGAUGGGUUGUCGGAGGAGUUGCGUGCUGGUGAUGGCGCUGCUCGUCUCGGCCGUCGUCGCGAGCAACGUCGGCGGAGUCGACGCGGCGAGGCCGGUGCCGGACUGCUUCGACGGCGGCGAGAGCUACUUGGCGUACCCGAGCACGCAGGAGAAGGCGAGAGCGACGGUGGCGACGUGGAUGGCGAGGCUGCCGUCAGGGCCGAGCCCGAAGGGACCCGGCCAUUAGUGACGGCGGAGCAGCUCGAUCACGUUACGCCCUGUAAAAUGAUGCAGGCUUAAGGAAGGAAAUUACAUGAAAUGUAAAGAAGCCUUCUUUUUUGUUUUGUUUUUUUUCUUCUUUUUUUUCUUCUCUUGAUAAAAGGAUGGGAUAAUUUUUCCCAUCCAAAGAAGAAACACUCCGUUUACUCCCAAGUAUUCGGAUAGUUAAUAUUUUGUAUUUUUUCUAAUACGGAGUUCAAUGGUAAGGUUGUUAAUACUUUCUUAAAAUAAAGAGGUAAAGCUCGUCCUCGCAAUGGGAACCUCAUGCAUUUAAUACUUAAUAUAUAUAUAUAUAUAUAUAUAUAUAUAUAUAUAUAUAUAUAUNNNNNNNNNNNNNNNNNNNNAUAUAUAUAUAUAUGUAUAUAUAUAUAUCCACCAGCUAAAUCAUGAAAUCAGACUAAACCACUUGAAACAGUAUGAACGAGGCACAAUUUCAAAGAGAGGAUUUGAUCACGAAUUAUGCCAGGGUGUAAAAGGGAGAGGAGGGAGGGUGGGUGGGAGAACAACGACAAAAAGGAUCGAUACACACGGCAAAACCGAUGAUGCUGAGCAUCCCAUGAAUUCAGUCUUCUAAAUUCGAUUAAUCUUGUUUAUAGCAAACUUAUCAGUGAUGGGGUAUAUUCUGGUAUAACAAAUAUCAAUAGUUAUGUCAAAACCAACAUGAUAUGAAGCCUCAGAAUCGAUAUGAUGCACAUGUGCGAUGUAACACUUUGGACCCAUAUGAGAUGGCGAACCGUGGCCAUGUCGGUCAGGGUAGUACGAGACAACGUUGUGCAACGUGCGACGUGAAACCAUAUAAGUUGAUCCACGUUGUAUGGGGUAUAUGAGUCAAUCACCCAAAGCAUUGACGGUCAUUAACGAAUCAUGUAUGAUCGACCCUUGAUAAUAAGUAUAGAAGCUAACCCCUAGCCAGGGGAUGAGACCUCCAACACUCGAGACACUCUCAACUCCAUUUUAUACUUAUGUAAGUUUCGAAGGGAUCGAGAGGUCCCUCCCCCCACAACUUUGACUUAUGUGUGUAGAAACUUAGACACGGAAAAGCACAUUAUGGAAGAAUCGACUCUCAGCUCCUCCUUGGGUCGACCCAAUCGAUGACGCUCUGACCUUACUUAGCAUCGACCCUCUCGCCUCAAGAAUCUGUGUGAAUGAUCUUGUGUUCUCGGGAUCGAAUCGAGCACCAGCAAUACUUCCCUCUCAUGGAACAAACAUUUAAGAUUGACAAAUUGCCUCAAUAUUCACUCAAAACAAUUACGUUAUCAAAUUUGAAUUGAUUUUUUGUUUCUACGCUAUCUGAACACGAAAACCCACUACAAGUUUGGAGGACUCAGCUUUUUAGAUUAAGCUUGUUUCCUUCUGAGGCUCUGCAGGCUUUUUCUCAUCCUUCUGUCCUUUUCUCAUCAAUAAGUUACAAAUGGAAUAAAUCAACUUUUGGAUUUUUUCGUUUCUUGGAGUUGUAAAAUUGCAUCAAAGCCAAAAUCAUUUCCCGGUUGGAAUGUUGAUUCAAGCUCUUCAUAGCUCUGCUUAACUCUAAGAUCUUUGGUUACCUUGAAGCUCUCCUGUAACAUGUAUUCAGUAAAAGCAUGAUGGAUGACUACAAUUAGGAACAACCGAAGAGAAGAAAGAGCUCACUGUUCUUUCUAAAUUACUGGUACUAACAUGGACACCAUUAAAAAUACUUACAAUGAUGUAACACAUGAUAGCAGCAUCUUAAGAUAAAGGUACCUUUUCAAUAUAUUCAGCGACUGUAGCAUUGAUGAUUUUCUUGAUAGAGUGCUUGUUAACUUUUGAUGGCCCAAUGACGUGCAGGAGAAUAUCUUUUGGUAUCUACAAUUAAAGAGUACAAUAUUGAAAAUCACCACCAUUCAUAUGAUAAAUGUAAAUAACUGCACUAAAUUCAGAUAUCAGGAAAAAAAAAAAAUCGGAUGUCAGGUACUAGCAUUGCUUUAAUGAAGCCAAUAGAAGAAAUAUACCAAAACAGCACAUUCACCUGUUUCUAAAACAAUUUUCAGCUUCUAGCUACGUAAAUGUACAUUGGGCAAUCUAAAACUCGGUAAAAAGUUCAGAAACAAAUUUGCCAGAGAACCUCAGGAAAUUCACAAAAUAUGUGGUUGCCAGUAAAACUAACAGCUCAACUAAAAUCAAUUGGACAGGAAGACAGGAAGACCAUCGAAAUUAUUGAGUCACUUUGACAAAGUCUGCAGGGUGUUGUAUCUACAUAGCUAAAUCUUAUUUCAAAAUAAGAGGAAAGGCGAAUUACCAAAAGGAAACUACUUCAUGCUUUAGUCUACGCUUUGUUUUUGCUUUCUCUAUUAUUCAUGGAACUAGUAAAAUUUCAGGUGCUAAAAAUAACAAGAAUUCAGAUGGUCCCGUAAAAGCACAUUUCCUAUGUGAAGUCCCAGGGUCUCUUUGGGUCUUUAGUUUUACCAAACAAGGUCUGUUAUACCUGGCCAUAUGAUUGAAAUUAUAUCCAAUCAGAUCCGUAGUCAGCAAAUUACCAGACCUGCAAGGUUUUAUUCAUUCCUAUCUGUUGAUGUAGCCUCCUUCAAUUGUAAUUCCUAAAACCUACAAUUUUUCCCAUAAUCAAAAUUUGUAGUCUUAGACUCUUAAUAAGUCCAUAUAAUUAUAAUUCCAGACUUGGUUGCCUGUGUGACUCAAACACGUUAAUGCAAGUUUGAACUUCAAGAGUAGGCAAUGUGGGGGAACGGUAAAAUAUCCAUCAACAUCGCUAUCUAACACCUUGUUGAUUCUUACCCAGAUUAUCAACCAGUAUUGGGAAGUUUUACACUUCACCAGAGAAUUGGAUGUAAAAACUACAAGUCAGAAGCAACAAUCUGUCAGUAUACAUAUUAUAAACAGAAGCAUCCUGAUGCUUUCACAAAGUGCUGCAUUAUGGGCACAAAAGCUUUCCAUUUGACUUGCAAAAGCCAGUCAAAACCACACACUAGUUGUCUGGACACUUAUGAGUAAGACUACUUUGAUAAAAUCUAGAUCUUUCUAAUCAAAAUUAGUAUCACAGCAUUGAAUUUAUGAAGAGGAUCUGUUUUCCAAUUGAGAAUUGACGAGGUCUACUAACAAAAGAUUGAGAAAAUCAGAUGGCUUCAUAGAUUUCUGAAGCCAUUUUAAAUCAAUCACCGACAUUCCAAGUGACAUUCUAAUGUCCAGAAGAGAACAUUUUACAGGGUAACUACUUGACUAAUGCAACUUGCAUAACAAUAAAAAGAUGACAUAAGCAGUAAAACUUACAUCAGGAGUCUUCCCUGAUACAUCCAAGAAUUUUUCCACCAGUCAUGAACAAUGGGAACCAACAAGAAUACAAGUCAGUUUAUUCUGUGAAGGACAUCUUGAUCAACAUUUAAUAGUGCAGAGAAAGCAACAAAAAAGAUAGCAAUCUGUAAGAUGAUUCCAAAUGCCAUGUUCUUCAAGUAAUGAAAGCUACUGAAGUUCUAAAAGUUAUAGACGAUAAUAACUGAGUGUAAAAAUGGAAAAGAUAUAAAAGUUGAUAUCAUCCUGUCCCACAAACCAAGGAUCACACAUGAAUGCAAUGUAAAUGAGAUCAGCCAAUCCGUAUUGAAGUAUCCAGUAGUGGCAGAAUGACUGAAAAAGGAGUUAGUUUGGCAUAAUGCAGGUGGUAUGAUGGUUAUUUAAAAACUGGUGACAGUUCUCUGAAUCAAGCACAAUGAAGGGAAAAAGAGGUAAGCAGCUGAUCUACCAAACCACAAUAAUUGCAAAAAAAAAAAAGCCUUUUGUGACAUGCCAUUCAACAAACCAUGUAGCUUGAAACUGUGGAGAUAUGCUUGUCAUGAAUAAAUAUGAUAGUGUGAAUGUAUUGUAAAUAUUCAACAAAUUCAAAAUGUGAUAUCAGAUUCACCUCCUUUCACUCUCCGAAAACCAGGAAUUGGUUGUGCAGCAGCAACUAAUUUGGAAAACACAUCAUCAAAGAUGGCCUGAGUUCUAGUGCCAGAUACAUCAACCCUAAUCUGCAUCCAAGGUUAUGUCACAAUUUUAAGUUUGUAUGCUCUCAAGAAUUAUGCCAAAGCUUCAGGGAAAUACAUAGUCAAUAGUAAAUGUCAAAUAACUUGCAAUUGACAAUCUUCAAGAUCAAUCCAUAAUUAUUGGAAAAUUUAUUAUCAAACAUUCAAACAUGAAAUAAACAAAACAUAUUAGUGAUUUUUACCUUUAACUCUCUAUCAUCUGAGUUGUUAACAGUAACAGUGAAGUCCUCAAAAGGAGACAUGGAAUUACCAAGACUCUCAGGAUCUGCAUUUCAAAUAUGGAGAAUAGGUUAUUACACAUAUGCUGAUUGGUAAAAGAAGUAGCAUAGACUUCUACCUGAAGAUAUUGCUUCAAUUGCAUCAAUACUUUUGUAGCCAUCCCUGUAUAGAUCUGGAAUUUUUUAAUAAGGGUGUAACUCUGGCUAUGUCAUCGGUUGCAAUUAGAAACAAAAAGGAUGCACGGAGAGGCAACUGUGAUAUUUGCAUGUGUUUUUUCUUUAAGAUAAAAGAAGUUGAUGGAACUAGAGCACAAGUAAUUAGGAGGGGAAAGCAGGACAGGUGGAGAAGCAGGAUACAACAUAACUAUUCUAUUGCCACUAUGACUCUGACAUAGUUAUAAACUCUGAAGAACAAAGGUAUUUUUUUAAUAUGAGAAAGAAAGUGGAUGUGAAGCAGAACUUAGUACAUGUAGAUUCCAACAUUGUUGUUAACGGAAAUAUACAGGAAUUUUAUGAAGUUCAAAAGUACAUGGAAAGAUAUUCUAUAAAACCUAAUAGAGAUUUCUCAUCAAAAUAUAUUCUAUGGUCCUAUGGAAACUCAUUUUCAGAACUAGAUCCCAAUUGGAUAGAACUUUGUCUUAGGGGAGUAUUAGCAAAAAUAUAAAAAAACAAAACAAAGGCAAUAGAAAGAGAAAAGACAGAAGAAUUAUACAAAAACAACGUGCUUCUUCUGGAACAGUAUGAACUAACUCAUAAAGUAUUGGUACCUUCUAAAAUUUUCUCGAGUGACAUUUUGCAUACGAAUUGAUGACUGCAUUCUCCGAGAGAAUGGUAAUCCAGCACACAGGUUUAUUCUUUGCUUUCGAAUCAUUAUCUGUAGAGAGAUACAAUCACAGAACAAUGUUAAGGAAUCUAGCAUCUCAUUUAUUUGUCGAGGAUAAAGGAUGUACAUAUAGUGACCCUUCCAUAUACCGUGUCCAAGAAUUAAAAUGCAGAUAAUUAUAGGUUAACCAAUGAUGCAAAGAGUCCAAAUAAUCACGCCUAUGAAAUUGCUUACAUAAGUAGCAUCCUUUAGUGAAUUAUUUCAUAAGCACACCAAUGAAACUGCUCAAAGGGGAACAAUUGCUUAAUCUCUCUCCUCCACAGGACUUAAAAGGAGGAAUUGCAAUACACGAGCCGAACCGAAACUGAUUUCAUCCCUCAUGCCAGACUUUGCGAGGAACAAAAGGAACAAACUAAUGUGCCAGAAAAGAAACAGAUCAAAGUACUUGUUGAUGAUCUAAGAAUUAGUUAUCACAAAAUAGAUUUGAGUUCUGGCAGCUUUUGUUACCUCCGGAUUCAGUCCAUUGCAUAAAGGUCUAAUGGCUAACUCCAUUUCGUUCCCCCCUUUCCUCUGGAGAUGAAACCCAAAACCCUAUCGGAAACCCUAACUCUGGCCUUUGUAGAUUUUCCUCUCGGUGUUCCGCCGGAACCGUUUAAAGAGUACCACGUGGCACUCUGUGAUGACUAAAGGCUUUCUCGUAAUUAAUUACAAUAUAGAGGACAUUUCCGUCAACUGCCUCAGCCGAUGGACGCCAACGAGCGCUCCCGCCGUUCAAAAAAAAUUAGGGUUCUUUUUACGGUUGAGUCGUUAUCGAAAUCGUCCGAGGGGAAUUCCGGCGUUGGUGACAUCGAAUACGGUCAGCACGAGGCUUGCGCUUCAACGAAAUCAAUCUCUAUUUCAGCAAGUAAUUCUUUUUAUUUCUUGAAUUCUAGAAAUAUCUUGUUUUGAUAAGAGGAUUUAGAUUAGUUUGAUUUCUUUUUUGUCCGAAAACACUAGUCUUUAGUAGCACUAAGUUUCCUGUUUCCUUAGCUUGUAUGUAAAAGAGAAAUCUUGGUCUCGUGAUAAUGGUUUGUUCUGUCAUCGAUCUUCCAAAUUAAUGUCACCAGAUUUUUGUUAGAAUAUCUCACUUGUUUCCAUUCUCUCUUCCAUUUUGUUAUUGUGAAGAAGCCAAUUGGUUGGUUUCACUUCUUGAUGGAGUCUGAUCUGGUUCAGCAUGGAGAACUGUCGAUUCAAUUUGUAUUGGAAUAAGCUGUGCAUGGAUGUUGGCAAAGUGAUGGAGAUGAAAUCAUAUAAUUGAUGUAUGCAGCGAGUGCACGAAUAUUUACUCUCCUUCCUGAUUUGCUCCUAGUAAUUUCUCUGUACUGACCAUCAGAGCUAAGGUCAGUUUGGUGGUUGCUCCAUGAACUUGGUACACUAAUAAUUGCACUGUGGUCGACCUCAAAAUGAGACAUUCGGCUUCUUUAUGGACCAACAGAAGAACAACCUACCAAAAAAUGUGGGGCUUUCACAUUUCAGUGAUCUAACUUUUAGGUGUGCACUGCUGCCAUAGUGGCCCUUGUUUCAAGCCCUUCUAGUUUUCAUUAGCAAAGGUGUAGAGAAGAAACUAUUAAAUUAAAAAGAUUGUGAUCAUAUUUCGUAAUAGUGAUUACUAUACAGUUUCUUAUCGUGAUAUGUAUAUAUAGUGUAUUUUUUACAAUCUUGUUACUUGGAAAAGGGCUCAAGCAUUUGCUAUUGUUAUACCAUCAAUACCAACAUGAAGCUUUAUACCUUUUCAAGGUCACCUCCUUGGAUCCUUUUACUCCAUUAUAGAAUUCUUUUCCUUCAUCUGGUUUAGAAAUUUGACCUUAAAUCUAUACCAAUUACCAUUACCUUUAUAAAUGUUCAUAAAGUUUGAUCUGUUACAUUUUACAUUGAACUUUUCAUAUUUUUCAUUGCUGAAAUUGUCAUAACGUGUGAAUAAAACUAGGAAAACAUGAGGUGAAAAGUCAGUUUAUGACGACUUAGACCACUAAGAGCUUGAAGCAGCUUUUACUCCUGGAAAUGAAUUUGUAUCCAGUGCUGUGUAGAUGUUAAAAAUUUAGAUCAUGAAACCACCAGCUCAAACUCUCCUUAGUCAUGCACAAGGAUUCAUGUGCAUACCAUUUUCCAAAAUGCUUUGUUUGUAUUUUUCUUCUAAGUAGCUAGUACCCUGCUCUUACCGAUCUCAAUGAUGUAUCAAAGCAAAAUUUAUCUUGAGUUUGGAAACCACUUUUUAUGAUGUCGCUUUCUGAAAGAAUGAUGGAUAAUAGCUAGUUCUUGAUGUUUGUACAGGUUUUCUUGUUCAUGAAAUAUGUUCUUGUCCUGCAUGUCUUUGCAGAGGCCUCACAUGCUCUCACACCCACCAAUGGAAGACAUUGAUUCCAUAGCCAAUGAGAGAAGUAAAAUCUGUGGAAGUCAGUUCACAGAUAUAUUACAUGCAGGGCAUAAGCAAGAAGGGCUAAUGUUUUCCUAAAAUCUUACAGUUUCAAUGUAUUCCCUAUGCUUUGAUAUGUUCUACCAUCAAGUGGCGGAUCUUGGAUUAGAGUAAUUGUUUUCACAAAGCUUUCAAACACUAGAUUUUAUCUUUAGGGAAUGCUACAUCUGGACUAUCUUUAUAGUUUCUUUCUUCUAAGUUCAACUCUUUUUUGUCUUCUCCAGGUGUAACUAUGGUCAACAACCUCAGAGGACAGAGGUCACAUCUCUCCUACAAAUUUAAGAUGUAAGUGUUUGUGUUACUUUGAUUAGAACAAUUUAAAAUACCAGCUAACUAGAAAAAGAUGAUUUAUUGCAUAACAUUAUAAUUUGGAUGUAACCUUACCAUGAUAUCAAGGUAUCCAUUCACUAAAAAAAUAAAACAAAGACAAUUGAAGAUAUCCAAAUAUUUUAGUUCUACCUUAAGUUAUCUCUAGAUUGCAAGAUAUUUAACAAAUAUAAUUAUUAGAGUUGAUACUUGAGUGCUUCAUAUUCUUUAUUUUAGUAGGUUAGGAAUGGGUAAGGAAAUGAUUGUUUUGGUGUAUGGUCUUUUUUAGUUCUUAAAUUGCUUUGAUGGUGGCGGGGCUCAAAUGGUGUAUCCUUAUCACGAAUAAUUGCAAUGUGGUGGGGUCUCACAUGAGACCUUCGGCUUCUUGAUGGACCACCAAAAGUCCAGCCGACCAAUUAAAUGUGGGGUUUUCAAAGCUCCAGUGGUUGAACUUUUGGGGAUGCAAUGUUGCCUAGUGGCCAUUCGUUCCCCCUCAAGCUCUUUGGAUUUUCUUGAACAAUGGAAUGGACGGAGGAGUUGACAUCAAACUAAAUGGAUUUCAUUUGAUGUAACUAGAGACAUUAUCUCAUACAAAUAUCAAAGAAUCAUAUGACUGAUCCCAAAUAAUUGAGACACAAAAUUCAUCGAACAUUUUCCUUUUCUUCAUUUUCUUGAAAUAGGUGCAAUUUAUGUUUUUAUUGUCUGUAGACUAAAUGUCAUAAACAGUUCUAAUGUUCCUUUUUUGUCACCACCUUCCGUCUUAGAAUUUAUUUCUUUUCAUGCUGUUUGUCAACAAGGUUUCAACUUCUUUCUCUAAUAUGGAUUAGGUGGUGACAGUGGUGUACUCUCUAUUUCUAAAAGUUUCAGAAGUUGAAAGUUUCUACUUCUAUUUCUUGUACAGUACUUUUCAAACAAAGACAAGGUUGCCAAACAUGACUAAUUGCUAGUGUUUAUAAGUUUUCACUUUAAAAUUCAAAGUAAUUACCAACCACAGUAAUGUCAAAUACCACCUCUUUUUGCUUCUCCAUGCCAUAGCAAAUGUGUUGUUGUGGAAUUGUGUCAUGUAUCUAAAAAUCCACUCUACAUCAAUUCAUGUAAAUUAUCUAUGAUCAAUUAUGUUUUAUUUUUUUUUGACUCAAUGUGGUUGUGGGCUCCAUUUUUAGGACCAGUGGGUGAUUCCACCCUGCACAAUAAAUAGCCACUGUGAAGGUAACACAUCCCUUUCAUGAUGACCCUUGGAAAGCUUGUGAACACUGAUUUUUCUCUGCCUAAUAAGCUCACAAACAGUAUAUUUAUUUUAUGAGACUCCUAUGAUAUCUCAUUAGCCCCACCACCUUCUAUCUUAUCCACCUUGUCCCCCCUUCUGUUGCUAUACUGCCCAUAGUAUACUAAUUUGGUCCUCCACUUACCCAAGUUUCCCUCUUCCCCACAUCUACCUUUAUUCAUCACACCAACAACUAUCUCAUCAGAAAAUUAAAAAGUUAGUACACAAUAAGUCACUUCCUUUAUUAAGGGAGAGUUCUGAACAGCAACUGUGAAAUGGAGUUCUAAAUUUAAGACUUUCCUCCAACAAAUUCUGACAGAUCCCAGUUUUUCUGACUCACAUAAUUUUCUUCCUUACCAACUGUGCCAUAUUCCAUCCUCAUAGUUUAUUACCCACCAGGCAAUUAGCACCAAAUGGUAUUAUUUUAUUUGGAUUAAUAAAAAAAGCCAGCUUAAUCUUAAGUGUCCUCUCAAUGAUUCCUAAUCAUGUGAAUGCUGAUACAUUUUCUUUUGGAUAAUGCAGUUUGAAGGCCUAAUGUUGCUUUCUUCAGAGUUGGAGAAAGAAAGAGAACAUGACUGACAGUUGACUUGAAUAUGAGUUGUCUCCAAAUGACGCGACUCAGAUAAGAUUUCAAACCUGCCAUAUAUUGUCUUCAGAUUGCUCUCUGGAUGACCUUGGAAACUGAGCAUGGGUGUGACAAUCAAGUCAGGUAAGUUUUUAUGUGGAGGUAGGAUUGGAUCAUUUGGAUGCAUGUUAAUUAAUGAUGGCUUACUAUUAGCUGACAUAUUUUGCCAAUCAUGUUCUCCAUCCAUCACAUAAACUAUGCUAAUCCUCUAACAAUACCCUUCUUCAACAAAAAGGCAGACAAAGAGGAGAAUGACAACCUUGGAAUUGACUGAACCACACCCAGUGUACCACCCACCCACUCCUCCAAUGAGAGAGGAGAGAGGAGAGAGGAUAAGAGCUUUCGGUGAUUCCGAAUUCAGUCUCACAGAUUGAUGUCAUUAUGGCAGCAUCUUCCACUUCCCAUCCCAGUGAAGGCUAAGUCCUGCUGUUACUACAUAAUAACUUUCUUCUCCUUGUAAAUUUACAUAGCUACCGUUAGACAUGCAUUAAAGGCCACACACCAAACCAUAUUCUUUCCUAACAAUUUAUAAUUUAAAUAACAGGAAAAAGAAAUUAAGAGGAUAAUGUUUCCCAACAAUCCUAUGUUAUUCUCUGUAAAGAAAAAUAUUAAAAUUCAAUAAAAAGAAAAUAUUAGUCUUAAUUGGUUUUUGUUGGAGUGCUUUUCCCAUUAGAUUUUACAUAUAUGAUGUUUCUGUUAAAAAAUAAGAAAUUGGGAUUAAUAAAUUAUUAAAUAUAAAAGAUUUGAUUUUUUUUUAUAUGUGAUAUUAGCACCUCUCUUUGUCUUUCAAAACAUGGGUUGUUUGAAGUAGAUUCCUAACAAAUACUAAAAUAAACAAUAUUAUAGUUUUUUUACUGCUAGAUUUAAAUCUUAAUUUGGAGACAAAAAGAUACAAUUGUAGAGCUAUUUCUCACCAAAAUAAUAAUGUUCAAAUUUUUAAUAUCUUAAUUUAAAAUAUUUCAAUGAAUCAUUAUGUCUUGGAAAAUCUUGCUAGCAAAAAAGUUCUUUUUAGGUAAGUAAGGGUAAUACGGUCACAUCAGAUCAGUGAGCGGAGGGGUAAUUUAGGUAUUUUGGUUUUUUUUUUGUUUUUCCUAUUGUUCCCUUUAUUAAAAAGAUCAUCUUUUUAUCUCGUAUUUUGUUUGCUUUCUCCUCUGUUCUUGAAACAGAGCAAGCAUUGUAGAAGAACCAGAAGGAGAGAUGGUAGGGCAUUUCAUGGUCUGCGUCGACGGGAUCAUCGCCUCGGCGGCGUGCUUCGAGCCCGUGAAUCCCGGCGGUUCUCCUCAGGCGGACGGCGGGGCGGUGGAGGAGGGGUGCUCGGUAAGCAGGACGGCCAUCGCCGGUCACAAGAAGAAGGGAGGUGAGAUGAUCGAGUGCAGAAUAUGCCAGGAGGAAGGGGACGAGUGCGACAUGGAAACCCCUUGCGCUUGUAAUGGAACCCUCAAGGUCUUCCCCUUCUCCCCCUCUCUCUUCCCUCCUACCAUUCCUAAGGGACAUUUGCUUCUCUCGUUCUCGCAAAUCUUAUUUCCCCCUAAACAUUGUUUUCUGAAACCAUUUAAUUAAAAAUUCUUUAAGUUUUCUUCUGAGCUAACGAUGAAGUAAUAUUUCUGUUCAAAAGAGUUUCCUUUCUUUCCUCUCCUCUUUUUGAGUUUUUAUUUUUUGUUUUUGUUUGUAGUAAUCUUUUUCCUCUGCACAUGCAAAGGAUGCUUGGCUUUUUUGUUGUAACUGUAAAAUCUCAAAACUUGUUUGGAAUGUUACAUCUCCUUAUGCUUCAUGUCCUACUCGCAUAUGAUAUUUUUAUGAAAGUUUUGACAUCCGUUUUAGUGCUGAUAUUGAUUGCAAUGUAUGAGAUCUUUAUCUUUUUCCUAAUUUUGUAGUUAUCAUUUAAAACGAAAUCUGUAGAUGUCUGACGCUUUUAAUUGAGGUAAAGGGCGACAUAAGGUUUCCAUUUAAUUUUUUUUUCCAAAAUGUUUACGGAGGUAAUAACUUUGGUUCUUGUGAAACUUAUUUGUAUUUGUAUUUUUUUAUACAUGUAGAGGGUGUGUACCAUUUUUUGUAUGGAGGGGUAAAUCUGAAAUACAUGAUUUUUAUUUUCUUCUUCCCUUUUAAUGCUUUUAGAGGUUGUAUCUACGCAUGCAUCAUACUGUGCUUGCACUAAAUAGCUUUAUGUAUAUCGGCGUUCGACAUCUCUUUGGACAAGCAGAGGUUUUGGGCGAUUGCAACCCAUGGCACUGCUAUCAAUGUUAUCGUUUUUCAUAUGUAUUGAAUAUGCUUGUCUUUGGAAUUCAGUUUUAUGUUGGUGUUCAUAUAUUUUAGACAACAGACAGCUGUAAGGUCCCCAAGGCUGCACAUAUCUUUUCCCACCAGAACUCUGUUGAGGGAAACACCACUAGCCCAGUCGAACAGGGUUCUGGAGGAUGAUUGACUAAAUGUUGCAGAACCCUAUAGCAUUACCUGAGGAAAAAAAAAUUACAAAAUGGUUGUUGAAAGUAAAUUUACUAGGACUGGAACAUUUUGUUGAAAGCAAAAUCGUUGUUCAAUCUUGUGAGCUUCUGGGAAGUAGGAUUUGUAAAUAUUCUUUUGUUUCACAUCAUGGUCAAGUAUGAUUACAAUGACAAUUGUUGGUUGACUUGUUAUUUGGUUUUCUCUUGCAGUUUGCCCACAGGAAAUGUAUUCAGAAAUGGUGCAAUAAGAAAGGGAAUAUCACUUGUGAAAUCUGCAACCAGGUUGGGCUUCAAGAUGCUGAUCUCCAUCCUCCUCCUCUUCUCUCUCUCUCUCUCUCUCUCUCUCUCUCUCUCCCCUUUUUCAGAGAAAAAAAAAGAGAACUUAGAUGUAGCUAAGUUUCCUACAGUUGGCUAUUUCCAACAGACUUGUGCAAGUUCAGGCUAUGCUGAUUAUCUUCACAGCAAGGCCAACCUGGACCUGCUUCCCUCUUUCAAUUUCAAUCUAACAAAUCACACUUUUGGGUUGCUGCAAACACCUCUCUGCAACUCUAUCCUGUGUCAAACAUUUUCUUUUCACUGCAAACCACAGAAUGGAGGAACCAUCAUUUGCCAUUCCUACUUUGAGAUUUCAUUGAAUACCCAAAAUGGUAUUCUUUCAAGAAAGGUAUAUGCUUUAGCUAGGCUGAUGACAGAGUCAGACCACAUAUAACUAUUUCUGUAUACGAGCCACCCAAAUAACAAUAAGGCAAAUGACUGUAACUGUAAACAUGCAUACUUUAGGAUAGUGAUUCAUAUGUGAUUAGUACCUGAUGAUCAUGAUGACGUCCUCUUUUGGUUAAACACAUAUUUAUGAGUGGUCAUAAAGGUUCAUCUUGUUUAGAAGGCACAAAGUAGUGGUAUUUGUCUUGUUAGGUGGUUGCCUUGAUAAGUGGUACUUGUCUUGCUUACUUUAUAUUAUCAUAUUAUUUGUCUCUUUUUUGGCUGUUAAAGCAUUUACUGGAAUGCUUUGCUGUUACAGGUUUUUGCCCCAAAUUAUUCUGUUCCCCCAAGCAGACCCAGUCCUGAUGUAAUUGCUAUUGACAUCAGGUACUUCUUGACAAUGAUCUCAUUUUUUUUUAUUUUUUUGUCAGAGUAUUACGCCAUGCAAAAUCAGAUUAAUUUUUUGAAGUCACAGAAUCAGUGUGAACAAAUGUGUGGUUAGGUGGCUUCAGCACCUACUAUGAAUUAUUUUGUCUAUAGAAAAUAACUGAUAUUAUGUUGGAACAGAUAACUUGUAGUUUUUGCCCACAAAAAGGAUUUACAAAGUUUUCUUGCCAAGACUUCUAUAUGCAGUUAACCAGGCAGAAGCGUAUACAAGAGGUUUCAUGACAAGAUUUGUCACAAACUAAAAGCAAGAGCAUUUUCCUGAAUAAGAAGAUCUGGCCAUUAAACCUUCUAUAUGGUGUUGAUUGUCACUGAUAUUUUACUUUCUCAUGGAGCAACAUGAUCCCAAUGAUUAGUGACAAUUUACAUCAAAGUUUCUACCUAGUUUUGGCAGCUCCACUUUGUAGUUUUAUAUAAAUUUUAGUUGAAUAAAUUUUAGUUGAAUUAUAUUCUGUUGUAGGUAAAUGAAUUUUUACUUGCAACAUGCUGUGUUGGGCUACCAUGGUCUUUGCCUGUUAGACUAUUUCAAUUCUGACAGAAGUGUGUUGUCUAUUGGUGACAGUGCCUCCACUUCUUUUGUACUGUUCUUUUUAAUUUUUAUUGUUGGAUUUAGCAUGAAGAUGUCUGGUGAAUAUUGUAAAAACUUAAGGGCAUCAUGACCACAUCUAGGACAAGAGAGAAGAUUCUUAAGUUCCUAAACAAGUUGUUAGACAUUAUAAUCGGAUUUGGGUGGCUGCAGUUUUGUCAAUAAAAUACAUUAUACCUCCAUCUUACAUAAAUCCAAGCACCAUAUUAUGUGAUCAGAAAGCCCACUGCUUGAGUUGAAGAAUUACAGCCUUAUUAUUUGAAUGCACUUGUUUGGCAAUCAACUUUACAUGAUAAUGAGAUAUUAUUUCCUUUCCAUGAUUCUUCAAUCAUGAGCCUAAUCCUUUACUUGUUUUUUGUCAGGCAAAGUUGGGGUUCACGGUUUGAUCUUCGUGAUUCCCAUUUUCUCGCCAUAACUGCUGCAGAGCAGGAGUUACUAAAUGCAGAAUAUGAGGAUUAUGCAGCUGCAAGUGCCAGUGGAAUUGCCUGUUGCCGCACUGUUGCUUUAAUUGUAUGCUUUAUUGUUGGAUUACAAAAAGUAUAUUUUACUUGUAGCUACGAAGCAUGGAAGUUAAAAUGGUUUGUGGUCUUUUACAGUUGAUGCUUUUGUUGCUUGUUCGACAAAUUUUUAAUUCAUCGAGGGAAGUUGGACUGAUGCAGGACAUAUCGGCAUUGUUCAAUGUAAGAACUUUUUCUAUCUUUUGAAAUAUCAAUGUUAUGUUUUAGAACUUACUGCCAAAGUGUCUCUUAACAUGAAGAAUCACAUUGCUCACUUCCUUUUUUCCCCCCAACUAGAAUAAUUUCUAGUAGGAUGAAAUCCUACAUAGACAACAGUCUAAGUCCGUCCUGUACAUAUUCCUUAUGGAAACUGAAAAAAUAAUUUAUAUAUUUUAUUUCCUCAAAGUAGAGUUGCAGUGAAGUUGCGUUUCAGUGUUAUUUUAGGUGUUUGGAAUGGUAGUUCUUCUGUUCAUGUGCACUAGGAAAUAGGUUAUGGUUCUAUUUUUGUUUCCUACGAGUGCCGGCUACUGAACAAGAGCAAGAUGCUAUAAAUAAUAAGUCAGAAGAUGAUCAUUUGAGAUUGAAUUCUCUGACCUUGCAAAAUCUGGUGCCAUUGAGGUAAUGAUCUGUGUUGGUGCAAGUUAUGUCAUGAAUGCAAUUCAAAUGUUUAUUAUGGUUUCGUAUCCCAUUGCUGUUAUAUUUUUUGCUUGAGAAAUCUAAAAUCUAUGGUCAUUUACUUGCAGGUAUCUCUCCAGUUCGUUGGCUUUUUCCUACCGUGCUAUGUGAUCGCACGUUCCUGCUACUUUAUACAAAGCCGUAGGAGGCGGCAGGUAUGCUUUAAAUAUGUUGAAGUUCUUGGAAAAUUUGGUGUGUCGAGACAUAUGGGUCAAAGUAUGUCCACUCUUAUGCCAUAUCAAGGGUGUGGGUCAACAUGUAUUUAGCAAUGUGAUAGGUUUGCAAUGUAUGACAUAGGAUCUCACCCAUACCGUACUGGCUGGCAUAUACCCUUUUGCACUGGAACUAGCAUCGUACUAGCACAUCAAAGAUGACUGAUGCUUUUAUGUUAUUAUUAUUUGCUAAAACACUGGAUUUUCUGGAUAAAUGCAUACCUCUCAGUAUAUUGAUAAGCCUUAUGGUGUAAAUUUUAAAGCAAUGGAAUUUUUUCUGGAAGUAUGUACACCUGAGAAUACCUACGUAUUCCUCAAUUUAGAUUUUGAAUUAGUACCAUCCAGGCUCCAACUUAUCACAUAUUCAUAAGUAAAGCCCCAUUCAUUUGACUUGUCUGAUACUUAAAUGACAUGGAUUAAGUUCUUGCUUCAUUUAAUGCAAGCCAGGUUAUUGACCAAAUUGCUGUUGUUUUGCAUGGAGGAAAAUUGAAACUUGGCAAUGUUAAUACAUGAGUAGAAGAGCAUUCCUGCAAAUUCAAAUAACGCAGAUGGUACUAGUGGUGUGCAAUCACUAAACUAAUGACAUGUUAAUUGUGGAAAAUUACUUUGAGGAAAUGACAUCUAAACAAGGUUAAUCAUCCAGAUUUAUAAAGUGGAGGUGGUGUAAAAUGGUUUAGACUGCAACUCUUGUGGAAUCUGGAUUUAUUGAUAGUGUUGCUCUUAUCUACUGGUUUUUCGUGAGAGUUAACGUGCCACCUUAUUAUUUCUUUGCAGGUCUAGGAGUUUGUGGUGAAUCAACUUGUUUCAUGCAACAUGCAUCAAAAGGAGAUCUCUCAUUGUUUUCGGAGCUAUGAAGCUCAUCUCCUUUUUUUUCUCCACCUUGAUUGCCAGGUUAUGAAAUCAUCAAAAAAAUUGAUGGUCUGGGAAAGAAUGUGAUUUGUGUUCCAAUGUGAAUGCAUUGGUUGUGUUAAGAUAUCGAACAACAAAUCCCUUAGGAAAAUGUAAAUAUGAAACUCUCAUGUCUUUUGGUUGUGCAUUUUUGUCCUGCCACAUCCCAGAAGUGGGUUUGCUCUACAAUUUUCUUGAAAUGCAGUAUCCUCCAAUAUCUGUUAUGCUCAAUGUGAAACCUUUAUGUGGCAACCUGAUCCAAUCUCACAAUAUUAGCACAUUUUGUAAUAUUGCUGGGGGUUUAACAUUUUCUAAUGCAAGGUCUGUCAUACCGAAGCGUACCGCUCAUACCAGGCGGUAUGUACCGGUCCGAUAGGUUACCGGUACGUAGAUCGUCCGGUACCGGUACCGUUAUAGUGCUACCGUUAUAGCAUUGCUACAGUAUAAAAAAAAGGAUGUACCGUUCGAUACGUCUUAAUGUAUCGCUCGGUAUACCGGUAUUGUAUCGAGCCUGGGUCGAAAUGUUGGUAUAGCGAACUUUGCUCACAUGCACUAUCUUUUUUACUAUUUGGAUUAAAUGACACUCUUCAAGUUUUCCAAAGUGAUUGCCUCUUUCUUGCUUAAGAUUUGAAGGAACAACUUGCUCUAUGGAUUAGUGUGAGAUGAAAUUGACGAUUAUACUCUAGAUUGAUGGCUCAAAGUCACAUUCAAUAAUUUAUUUUCAUCUAACUCAAUAAAAGAUGAGGAUUUAUAUUUCAUCCAAUAAAUUUGUGAAAAUAUCAGCUUGUUGAUAUUUUCACAAAUUUAUUGGAUGAAAUUUAAAUCCUCUUUGCCACUAACCUAAUAAAGAGUCCAAUGAAUUUGUGAAAAUAUCAGUUAAGUUAAAGAACUUGACUAAAGAUGAGGGUUCAAAUAAAUUUAGAUCUUGACAACAUGGAGGAAGGUUUUGCGAUUGAAGUCCAUCUUUGUCACUACCUAUAGAAAGAAAAACUUGCUCUCUAAAUCCAUAUUAUCUAAAUUAAGAGUCGUUUUCUCCAUAACCUAAUACAUAAUUUAUUUGCUAAAUACACAAAUGCUCAGGUUUAAAUGAGAGUGACGGCUUUAUUUAUAGGUCAUGAAAGCCAUGACUUUGGCCCUACUGAUUGAUAGUAAUUCCCAUGUAAUUCUUUCCCUGCUUCUCCAGUUAGGCUUCCACCGCUGAAAGAUUUUGGAUCAACGAGUGUAGAAUGCACAUCAAGCACGGGCAAGAGUACACAAAAAAAUCUUGUAAUAUUAUUUCCUCUCUGUGUUACCUACCAUGGCCAUCUUAACACAUGCAUCCAUUAUUCUAAAAUUUAGAACUAAAUUUAUUAACAAACUAUGGCUUAAGCCAGCAAGAUUAUCCAACAAAAAAAAAAAAUUAUCACAAUUUGGUUUAGCAGUCCAAUCAAAAUAGAUUAAAUUAAAAAGAGCAUCCUGCUACGGUGCUGCUUUGAGUCAUUCUAGAAUUAGAAUUGCAACCAAGAAGCAUAAGUUGCUGAACCUCAGUAUACAAAUGAUAACUCAUAGGAUGCGUACGAUACUCAUGAAUACUGAAUAAAAAGCAUUGCAGAUUUGGAAGAUGUUGAUUGCUACAAAAACAAAACAAAAAAAAUUACUGAUGUAGUUACCAGUGUCAUUCUUACUUUUAUAGUGGAAAUAUGCAAUAAAUCUUAUGUAAUUAUUGAAACUCAAAGAGCUGGUGAGUGAAGCAUGUAAACCCGUCGUAUGUCCUUUGUCGAUGCCAAAACUAUGAUGUAUGGAACCUUCAGCUUACAGAUACGCCAGGCUUCACUUUUUCUUUUAAAAAUUGCUGAAUGUGUUCACGUUUCCAGUUGUCGAUUCUGUUAAUGCACAGAAGAAAUAAACAUAAGUAAUACAUGCAUCGCAUAAAAAGCAAAGCAGACUUUGUUUCUGCAUAAAAUUGACAGAUUAAUAUUUAUCACCGCUAUGUACAGAUGAUAAUUUAGAGAUCCUCAAAUGGCUAUAUAUACACCUACAAGAAAAUACUCAGUGUAGGGCAUAUGCCAACAUCAUAGAGUCAGUUUAAAGUCUGCCAAAGAUUAGCUGAAUUGCUUAGGAAACUCCAAGCAUCAUACCUUUCAUCUAGCCAAAAAAAUCAGCAAUAACCUGGAGUUCUGGAUGUACUCAUGAAACCACUAAAGUGGAUUUGGAUAUAAGGAUUUAGGUUCCAAUAGUUUUGGGCGUAAUGGAAAACUGUAAGGCUCCCAAUAAGGCAAGUAAAAAUUUGAAACAAGAACCAAAUUGCACUUUCGGAUUGAUUGCCAGUUAGUCAAUGAUGAUACAUUUCCUGUCAGAUAAAUGGGAACUGUCUAUAUUAAAAGGAAUAAGAAGCAGAAAAACAAUUUACACCAAUUAUAAUAGCUUACUUGACAGUAGGGGAGAACACACAACUGCAAAAAUAUUAGUAGAAAGCAUAUUCAGUAACUCUUGUCUGCCCUUCUAGUCUAGCCUUUCCUGGUGCCAUUAAUGAUUAUGAUCACAGUCACACUUAGAAACCACAAAUUAAAUUCUCUUCCUCUUUUGUAGUACAACAACAAGAAUGACUGCGUUCAUACCAUCAUAAUAGACACAAGGUCCCUCCAACUUAAAUCAAGACUAGUCAUCUUUGAGAUGAUCCCUCUUCAGAAGGCUAAAUUACAACACUUAAGUACAUAUAGUCUUCAGAUUGGUGAAGUUCGACAAGGUAAAAUUAAGUGGAAUGUGGAAUAUAGAGUGCAAAAUCUAAGGCAGGAAAGUAAAAAAAACCAUGGGUCAGAUCUGCGCUAUAGGUACCAGCCAGAGUUUACUGUGUCAAGGCUGACGAGGCAUGGGACACACAUGUCAUGCCAACAUAUAGCUCAGCACAGAGUCAGUGAUGGUGCAUGGUAGGGCACAUGCACAACAUCAGUGCCGGUACAUAGUACAUUCCAAUGGUUGGGCAUCAUGGAGAGAGCAACUGACACUUUAAUUAUUGCAAGAAAGCAUAUGAAAGAAAUGAUGGAAAUUGUACAAAUGCAAGAGCAAACUAUGGCUUUGAAUCCUCUCAUGUUCAUUAGUAAAAAAAUCUCAGAAUAACUUAAAAUGGUGAAAUUACCAUAUGCCAAUAUUAUAUAAUGUAGUAAAAUCUCAAUAUUAUUAUGCAACAGAUGAUCUCUCAAAAAGAGUUCAAGGGGCACAAAAAAAAUUAAAGAAGCAUUCUUAGAACUGACCUUAUGGUUUCCUUUUCAUUACCCUCACUGUCCAGCAUGAUAAGUUUCGGUGGGGAUGCAUAAGCAUAUUUGAAUUUGACAUAUGAGAAUUCAUCUUUCUCUUCUUCUAUAAAUGCUGCAACUUCAGGAUAGAACAUCAACUUCCUCAUGCAUACCUCUAAAAUUGCACCCGAGAACGUAACCUGCAGUUGUUUCGAAGUUAGCCACACUUCAAUUAAUUGAAGGAGAAUUUGCAAUUUUUCCACCGAUCCAUCAUGUUUUGCUGAUUUUAGGAGAAAAAAGAUGCAUGACUACUAUUAGAUUUGCAAAUUCUAAUUUUAUUCACAAAUUAGACUUUAUUUUCUACAAUAAUCUCGUGCCUAUAUCACAAUUUUUUAUUCACAAAUUCCCAAUCAAGACUGUUCAGUCUUGAUAAAAUGCUACAUAGCACAGAGAAGAAUGAUUCUGAACUUUCUAGAUUUGCUUUAAAGCUCUUAUUUAAACAUCAAAUGGGGUGAAAUUCAUUGUGUAAUAGUGGCAUAUUAAACUUAUUAGAUAAGUAUAAGUAUUAAAGCCUUGUGAAAAAGCUCUAAAAGAAACAAUUCACUACUUUAGACAAUAGUGAAUGGCAUUAAGAGGAAAACAAUAGUUGUUCAAAGUUCCCUUCAUAUAGCAGACAACAAUUUGCCCAAUCUCAGGGUACAUCUACAGUUCUACUAACUGGGUUUAACCCCUCUUCCUCCUCUAGAAGAGGUUCCAUGUUCAAAUCUUGCUAUGAUGUCAACUUUUCUAUUCUUCUUAAAAAGGCUUCUCAGGUUACACCAAGAUGAUUCUAUAUGUACCACCAAACAAACAAAAAACUUCUAUUUUCUCAAAAAACAUAAUUCAAGAUUCGCAAUAAUUCAACUCAUUCAAGGAAUUUAUUACAGAGAGCAUAGUCAGUAUCAGAUUACCAGACUUGUUACAGCAUAGUAAUAUCAUCAAACAAGUCCUUGCCUGUGAGACAGUAUGAAUUACAUGGAGGCAUAUCUAGUAAGGAGAACAUCAGGUAACAUCCUGCCAAGUGACCUAUGAUGCCAUUGCAUCUAAAUUGUCAUGAUAUAUAUGGAAUAUAUUUUAAUCAUUCAAUAUUAAGCAUCUAGAGACCACUCCGUUGUAGCUACAAGCUUCCUCAUCAAUUUGAUACCACUUUAUACUAUGCAACCUAACAUGAAGCUUAGCUCACUAGGUUAGAGCGAAAAGAUUGGUUCCAUUGAAUGUGAAUCAUCUGAGGAACAUUAAACGAUCAAAAGGGAAAAUAGGCAAGAAAUGCAAACAAAAAAUAAAGUGCAUAUUCAAUUAAUGGCUCAAGCCUCACAUUUGUCAGGUUUGAGGAGCAAGAUGAUUAAUCUGUACCAUGUACCUUACUUAAGGAAUCGUCGGAAUCCUCUGAGCAACAUUUACGACAAUCUGAUACCAAUUCUGCAGUCAAAAUUUAAUGAAACACUUAGCAAAUCAUCUUUCUAAAGCAUCUGACUUCAUAGGAUUUGUUUUACUGAUAUUUUAAUGCAUAUCAGUCAUCGUGUAUUACAUGUCACUAGCUACAAUUUUGUGAAUUGAGAUAGUACCAACCAAGGAUUGAAAUAUCGUACCGUGCCCGAGUUUCGACGUUCGCUUGGUAUGGUACGAUACUGUAUACCGAGCGAUAUACCGCUCGGUGUAUAUAUAAAUAUAAAUAAAUAAAUAAAUAAAUAAAUAUAUAUAUAUAUAUAUAUAUAUAUAUAUAUAUAUUCCAUUCCGUCAGGUAAUGAGCGGUUCAUGUACCGAUUAGCUGAUGGACUGGUACAUACCGUCCAUACCGAACCGUAUUAUUCGAAAUUAUAUACCUUGUGCAUGUUUGGUAUGUGUUUUAAUUUACUAAAAGAGGAGGGUUGAGUUAGACAACUCAUAAUCAACAAAAUACUUUCUUAGAUUUUAUGACCAUGGAUCACUAAAUCCAACCGUCCCACGUCCUCAGCCAAAAAAUAAACAAUGUAAUAAUCACCAAAAGGCAAACCAAUUCUAACUGUCAAAACAAUCUAAUCUACAGGUGAUACAUGUAAAAAAGAAAGAAAUCAGAAUGAUAGAAAACAUGCACUUCAAGAUCGCAGCAGAACCUAGGGUUUGUUCUGAUCUAUGUUUUCGACAUCAAGAACCGACUAAAAGGAAGAAGGGGAUCGAAAGAUGCACGCGAAUCCGCAGCGCGGGUACGAAUCGGGGGCGAGAGAGAGAGAGAGAGAGAGAGAGAGAAGAGGUAAGGGCCUAAUCGAGACGAGGAGGAUGUACCUUUAUCCUUGACGUACUCGCCGAGGGUGUUACAAUCGGAGCAGAGGGCGAGGCCCGUGAACCCCAAGUCCUCGCACUCCUUGGCCCCGAGGCGCUCUCCAAGUCCAAGGAUGGCGCCGGCGAGCGAAAGGACGAGGAGACAACGCAGGGCUGCGGAGUGCGGAAUCAUCUGUCGCCCGCUCGGCUCGCUCCUGAGCAUCUUUACCCGGCGUCUCAGAUGACGGUUAUGACGGGUAUAAAAGACAACCUGAAACCGUCAUAAUCCGAUAUAUUAUAUAUAACGUAUCGUCAUAUGCUUUCAUAACAUAUUAUCAACGUUUAUAACGUACGUUGUAUUAAAAAGUCGAACUUAAGUCAUAUAACGUACCGUCAUUUGCUUUCAUAACAGACUACAGUGAUGGGAAGAGGAAGCAAGGAACAGAGACGAGCGAAGGAGUUAAGAAGAAGCAGGAUGGGAAACGUUCGACCCCCUCGGUUGGAGGAAUAAAAGAAGCUACAAGUUCUGGUUAGUGUUCUGAAGCUGAUGAUUAAGAUCAGUGCAAAGGUAACCCUAUUUUUGUAGGAAUGAUUGAUGAACUUUGCAGUGAAACUGAUGAACAAAAAUCACAGGUAAUCUUGUUGAUUUCCUAGUGAAAAGGAAUAGUUUACCGAAGAGAUGUCAGUGCAUGCAGUUUCAAUAGGAUCUCUUCAAACUUGAACAAAUUGAAACUGAGUCAAAAGAACUACACAGAACUAAUUAUCUAGUUUGCAGAGCAAAGCAUUUGUCUUGAGUAGUUGAGCUGUGUGGCUGAAUGCUUGAGAAGAAUUUAGACAUCAAAUGCUAUGCUUCAGAAUUCUAUGAGUUUGCUGUGGUUGACUACCACCUGCAUCAGCACAAGUACCACCUGGCACUAAAUUUGACCACAAGAAGACUUUUUUAUAUGUACCACAUACUGUUCAAGUUCCACAAAAACUUGUCAUCAUAUGGAAAGCAAGAUUUACUUCAUAUAAAAAAUGAAGUACAUGGGCAAAAAUUAGAUCAACAAUAUUAAGUCCUAUAGUAAAUUGCUCAUCCCUCAACACAAAAUCAAUGAAGGAAAGAAAUAGUACAUUGCUAUUAGAUCAAACUUGGAAGACUCAGAAAGGACUUAUAUUCAAUGUUGUAUAUUGUCAGUGACAAAAGAUGCCAUAGCCUACAGUGUCAUCCUAUCAACACUUGUUGAAAUUUAUCGGACUGUUUUGUGAUGUUGAUGGAAAAAAGACCUUUGCUUUCUGCAAUAACAAAACAUAGAGAGAUCCUUUGGGAUAUGGUGUAGUACCAUCCUGAACAGUCUAACAGAACAACAGCUCAAUACAAGUACAAAGGUUCAUUCAGCAAGAUAUGAGAAUAGAGUCGAAAUAUCAGACCCAUUUUUCUGUUCUCUCAUGUCAUCUUCCUUGUUUCUAAUAUCUCUAAUCUUGAAUUUGGCAUGCUACAAAUAUAAAACUCCCAUCUAUCGAAGAAAACUGAGAAAAACAGCUUCACCUUUCCCCUUCUGCCAAGAUGCUGACCAAAUUUCAUCAAGGCGACCAAGUCUUGUACACGGCAUACAUCAACAGCACUGGAAUCAUGAAGCAAUAAAUAGGGGAAUUAAGAAACGGGUUCAUGUCAUACGCCCUGACCAAAGCUCUGCAAUUCUGCAAUUAAAUUAAAAGGAAUAGUGAGUGGAAUUCGUUCACAUAGUCAACUGAUUACUAUAUUUUAGCUAUAGGACCGUUGUAAGUACAAGAAAUUCAAGUUCCACAAAAAAUAAAAGGUCCUACACCUUGUCUCUGUGUUGGAGGCAGAGGUCAAAACACAAUUAUAUUAUUAGUUUCAUAUAAACACUUUUUUUCUUUACGAAAUCCUAGUUCAACAAUUUGCAGCCAGAUGGGCCUGGACCAACAAACCGCACUUAGAGAACAAGUUAGUCUUCAAGAAUUGGAACAAAUAAAGAAUAAGACAACUUUACCUUCCAGUGCUUCCACAAAAUGACUGCAGUAACAAGAAAAAGAAACUUUCUAAUCCAGCGUCGACGCCAUAUGCAAUUUGAAUCACAAGAACUGGCAUUUUUUGUCUGCCCAUAGUUAUGUUCCAAAGAAUCAUCCUCCUUUUUCCCUGAGAGCAAGAGAUGGUACUUUCGAUAUGUUGUUCGUUCUGCAGCCAUUGCUCCAAUAACUAAAAUAGUUGGUAAAACAACAAAGCAAAGAUGAGGUAAUACCACGACCAUGACAUCAGGUACCCCUAGAUACUGGAGCAUAGUGUUUUUGUUAAAAUUUGGGACAAACCAACCUUGAUAAGUCAUAUAAGCCACAAUGCCUCUUUCAGUGAAAACAUGUCCAAAGAACCAAGGGAAGAAUAACAAGUAAAGCAAAUACAUAAGGAUACCAAACCAUACUACAGUCAUCCUAGGGAGUUCCAUCAAAGCCAAAAAUGCGCCAUCAACUAAAUGUUCCCUCAGACUCCUUCCAGCAAAAUUAGGUCUGACAUACUCAUAUGAGUAAUUCUUCUUCCAGCACAGAAGUAAAACUUGUGGAACAAGAAGUAAUGAGGUCAGAAACAAGAGGGCAGACCAAAAAGCAGGCCAGUAAAUGGAGGCCCACUGGCAACCCAUUACGAAAAACUCUCUCCAUGUCCAACUAACUUGUGCAGUGAGGCCAUUAAUAGAGAAUGGCCUUGAGUCACUGUAACUAGUUUUGCCAAAAAUGUCUAUUGCUUCUAUUUGCAGCCGAUAGCGGCUAGGAGAUGGGUCUUCAAAUGCUCUCCAGUUCCAUGGAGCAACAUACAGGUCUCCUCUAGAUCCAUUCCCUUCAAUCUUUCUCAUGGAAGAAUCUAGUACCACAGUAGGAGUUUCAGGCCGUGUAUCAUAUACCUUUACUGAAACUAACACAAUCUCAGUUCUUGAAAAUAUCAGGGUUCUUAUCAGCUCGUAAGAUGAGCCUCUCUUCGGCUGACAUUUGAAAUCAUGGACAGAUGAAAUUCUUUGCAUGAACCUUGAGUCCAAAGGAAAAGUAGGUAAUAUAAUAGUCUCCUUGGACCCUAAUCUGAAAUCUAAAUCAACAUAUGAUACAUGACCAGAAUCAAUAGCCAAUAUUCUCAUAGCUCUACUCCAUCUCCAGUCGCCCAUCUCCCAUUCCCAAAAUUCUUUGCUGGAAUUAGUACUUGAACAACUCUGUUCAUCCAUGUUAGUUGGAAAUCCUUGAUGAAUGUUGAACUGAUAAUACUUUGUUGGAUGAUUUGAUUGAUGAUGUCGUUUUAAGUUCUUGCCAAACUUCGUAUGAAGAUGCCCACAGAGAUAAGCCGACAAGGAGUGCUUAAGGAACACAUCUUUAAGACCUUGUCCAUCAUCUGUUAAUGCUGAAAAAGACAAAGGGAAGUGCCCAAAGGCAAUUUUUGUUAUCGUUGAUUCAGCAUCCCAUUGUGAAAGCUCCAAGUCUAUGUUUGCAAGUAAUUGGUUUGUUGGAUGCCCAAACAAGUUUGUUGGGCCACGAAGACCAGUUUCCAUUGUACCAUCAAAGCCAACAAAAAGAUGCUUCCAUCCACCAUUCUGCAUAUGAAUUGAAAUUUCUUUAUUUAGAGUUUAGGGGGAAACAUCCAUAUAAAUAUGUAGGUAAGAUGUUAUCAAAUUUUAUGCUGUCUGAAUGGAUAAAGGUACAAAACCAACAUGUUUAAAUAUCUAGAUGAUUGAUAUCUUGCAAAUAUAUGGAUAUUCACUAUGUUCCAUGUUUUCAAUAGACUAAUUAGUUAAAUUUGUGAGAAUAAUAUCUCCUAUGUUGUGCAGAUGGGAGACAACAGAGCUAAGCCAUGAACGGAACAUGAGGAAUCUCAAGAAACCAGUGGAUUCAUCAAUCUGCAUAUGCUCAUGACAAAAGUAAACAGGAAAAGAGUGACUCAAAGGUGAUGAUGAAUGCUGAUAAUGAUGAUUAGUCAACAAACCUGCAAUGUGAUGCUUUGGACGUUGCCAUCACGUCUUAAUCUUGCAUUUAUACUGUACUUUUGAUAGUAGUCAUAAGCACCACCAGCCUUUGGUACCCCAAAGCAAUCAUGAUUCCCUCUGAGGUCAUAAAAGAUUUCCUUGUUAAGUCCACUUCUUUGAAUGACAUUGUCAAGAACAUUCUGGUACUCUAUCCAUUCUACCUCAUCUUGUUUCAUGGUUAAUAAAUCUUUGCUUUUUCCAUCUGGGAUAUACAUAGAUACAAAUAUGCUCUAGUUAGAUAUAGCAACUAUAUUUUAAAUGUUAAAAUCCUAAUUUGUUUACUUAAAAAAAUGCAGGAGUUCCUACUCACUCUUUCUUAUAUUUUCAAUUUGUUUUAGGUUUCUAACAUGACACUGAAAUCAAGUCACAAUAAUACAACAAGAAAAUAGAACAGAAUAUGGGUACCAAAACAUCAACUCUCAUAUCAUUUACUUAAAAUUUCAAAUCACCAUGCUAAAGAAAAUGUUUUUGCAUGCAGAUGAAUUGACAUUCUAAAACCUUCAAGAGAUGUCAGGUUAACAUCAACAAAACCCCAAAAUCGAACUGAACCAAACUAUUCAAUACAGUUCGACACAUGUUUUUCAGAAAUUGGGUUUCUUUCCAUCUUGAAUAUAAAGGAACUGAGUUAUUAAUUCUCUACUGCUGGAUCUAUAAAAUCCAGCUUGUCCUUAUUAAAUCCUUGCCUCCCAUCCUACAUCUCCCCAAGCACCAUGAGCUUUCUCUCAUUGUGUUCCCUCUCCCCACUCUUUCCCCUUUCUUUCCCAUCGACAAUCUUGCCAAUCUCCAGAAAUCCUUUGUCCUGUGUUGAGGUUUCAACCAACCAUCUUCUCUUCAUCUUCUUCAGAAGAAGAUGGGCACAUGUAAAUUAAUCAGUGAAGAACUUAUUGGUAAUUUUGAUACAUGAGGGAUAUAUUAUGGCUUUGUAGCAGAUAUAUUAUGUCUUCUUCUUGUUAAUUUUCUUUUCUUUCUUCAAUUUUCCCACUCACUCAUUUCUGCACUUCAUGAUAUCCGAUACCAAGGAUGACAGGUUUUGACAAUGCCAUCUUGGGCUAACUGGUGCAUACAUGUGCAAUAUGUGCCCUUGUGGAGUAUCAGCAAUGCCCCACUGGACCAGGUGAAAGAACUUCUGUUUUCUUUAUUAUUCCUAGAAGUUUCUUCCAAUAAAUUAAUCUCAAAAGAAAGUUCCACCCAUUAAGCAAUUUAACUGACUGACUGAAAAUGGUCCAACAAAGUAAUGCAAAUGAGCCUCGAUUGUCAACAUAUACCGAUCAACAGACUGAGCUCAGUUUUACUGGAGUCCUGACCACUAGAAAAAUCAGAACCAAAGGAACUAGUCCUGUGUCAUGUCCUUGCUUCUUAGCUCUUGCUGCAUUUAAUGUUUUUUCCAAUAUCCCAUUCGUUGUCAACCGCAACAAUUUGACAUUUUUGAGGGGUUAAAUAUGCAAUACUUUUCAGGAACCAUGAUGUUGAGAAAGGAGCAUUCACCAAUUUCACUAAUAUGUUGAAGAAAGAAAACACUUAGUCUGAUCUAUAUAUCGUGCCAUAAAGAUUACCCCAAAGGGAGAUAGCACGUUCAUAUAAGCAAAUAUAGGCAAAAAGGACCCGAUAAGCAUGAAUUCAUGAUGAACCACAAAUCAGAGGAAAGGUAACUCCGAUGGCUAUUCACAAUCAUCAGGGUCAAGAAAGAGAGAGCAAAUUUCACCCAGAACGAAACGGAACAACCAUCAAAAUGACAUUUAUUCCCCAAACUGGAAGCAGAGAACAAAUUCAGGAAAGAUCCAAAGAGCAUACGAAACAGAUCAUUUGAAAGAAGAAGUCACCGGUGAGGUCGCCGGUGAUGAGGACGAGGGACGGAUUAAUCAUAGCAAGGGCGGGGCCGACGUAGCGCCGGAGGUCGUAGGCCCUCUCCGGAUGGUGGACGCUGAAGUGGAGGUCGGAGAGCUGCACCACCCACACCACCGAUUUGGGCUCCCCUUCCACCUCGAUCACGUUCCCCCCCGGCUUCCUCGUCCGGCUCUCGGCCUCGGACUCGGGGGAGGAUCGAGAGACCGGAAGAACCAAUAUUGCUACGAAAACCAUGACGAGGAGGUGGAGGAACCACCAUUUAGCCACGUCCAUGGCGUGGAAGGAUGUGCGAAGAAGACGAAGAUGGCCAGCAACAGAAGUGGGUUAGACCAAAGAGAAGAUUUUGGACAGAAUGAGAUCCACAAUUGAAGCAAUGGAAGCCUUCCUGCGUUGACAUGGUGGGAAGUGGAGAAGGGGGCAAGCAGGAGGCUUCGCUACAGUGGCGGCAUGUCUCAGAUCAACCUAAUGGAUUGUGAUGAUGCAAUCUCUGCCGUUACAUCUGUAUUUGAUACGGCAGUGUAUACGUUUACAAGUGCGUGCCGACCGGUACUUUCCGGUCCGGGUAUGAACCAGUACGCGGGCCCUACCUUUUUCAGAUGGUCCGGUCCGGUCAUCCAAGAAAUUAAGCGCGUCUCCGCUGAUCGUGGUCCAGCCCCAAUCGCGAGCGGAGCCUCGUCCGCUCCCCUUCUCUUCCGCAGCUGCCGACGACGACGACGACUACCGGGUAAUAUCCUAUUCUCUUCUUGUACUAGUUAAAAAGUCUUAAUGGAAAUUGAAUGAUAUAUGUUGAUUAUACCAAUCUUAACAAGAUAUGUCUAAAGAUAACUAUCCUCUCCUCAUAUCGUUCAAUUUGUUGAUGCUAUUUAAGGCUAUGAGCUUCACACAUUUAUAGAUACAUUCUCGGGAUAUAAUCAUAUAGGGAUGACACUAUAUGAUUGAGAAUACAUCUCUUUUAUCAUUGAUCAAGACAUAUAUUAUUAUCAUAUCAUGUUAUUUGGGUUAAAAAAUAUAGACGUAACAUAUGAUGAACAAAAUAUUUAAAUAUCAGAGAAACACUAGGAUCUAUGUAGAUGAUAUGAUUAUCAAAAGCAAAUGAGCGGAUUCAUAUUUGAUAGAUUUUGUCGAGACAAUUCAAAUUUUAAUGAGGUCCAAAAUACAUCUUAACCCAUCGAAAUGAGGUUCUAAUGUUCAAUUGGUAUGUCAUUUUCUUUUUGCCUUUGUUUGUUUCUGGAAUAUAAUGAUGGUCAUUCCUCUCCUGCAUCUUGAUCACACUUGCUACUGCUAGUAAUCGUGCCACUCUUUGCCCUCCUUCCCCUUCUCCUUGCUCUCGUCUCCUCCUUCGUCACUCAACCCAUCCUAAAUGAGGUGUGGUGUGCUAUGACAGGAUUUUUAAAUUCGUUUGCCCUCCUUCCCCUUCUCCUUGCUCUCGUCUCCUCCUUCGUCACUCAACCCAUCCUAAAUGAGGUGUGGUGUGCUGUGACAGGAUUUUUAAAUUCGUUUAUCCACUUUUACGUUGAAACUGAGCUGCGGCUGACUUAUAAAUCCCAUUGCAGGAAGGAUGAGGUUUUCGUCUUUUCUUUUCCCCGUUCUUGAUGUUGCAUAAUAUUUUGAUGCUAUUAACCUUUUCCUGCUUUGUCUCGGUCAAUGACUUACCCGUAUGUGAUUCUUCGCGCUUGCCUGCGUCUUUGAAUUCCGUUUCAAACUGUUCUUAUUAUCCCUCGUCAUGCAUGUGGCACUAGCGAAGCGUUCCGUCGUAUGCUUUUGUCGAGGGUAAUAUUUUAAUAUUUAUAUUUUAAAAAACUACAUCGGUAUUCUUAUACUUAUGAAAACUAAACAUUUAAUCUCGUCUCUUCUCGUAUUGUUGACUUUACUAUGAGCAGAUAGCAAAAUAGAAAAAAUGGGAUGGUGUAAGAGAUGACAUCGUGGUUGGGUAGGUCGUACGGAGAUAGCGGAGUUGGAGAGGAGGAUAGUAAAACAUAAGAAAUGAGAUGGUGCAUAAGAUGAGGAUCGUCACCACGUCGUCGUUGGGUAGACCAUUCGGGAGGAUAGCGAAACCUAAGGAGUGGACAAAGCCGACGGGAGAAUAGCAAGCUUUCAUAGAAGUUAUCAUUAUAGGAAAUUAAUAUAUUUGGAUGAUGAGAAUCGAAAUUAUUUUUUUAUCCUUAGCGUCAUUUUUGAAAGUGAUAACACAUACGAUAUCUUUCGUCAAUUGAAUCAACAACAUAAAAAAAAUUAAAUAUUUUAUUUUUAUAAAUAUAAAGAUACUAAGAUAACUUUUUUUAAAAAUCGAAUAUUCCCUUAUCGCAUUACAGUUAACGGAAGUCCUCUCCAUCGUCGGAUCGAAUCUCACAAGCGUGCGAUGCUCCCGGGGAAGACGAGUAGUGCGAAGUAACGCACACAAAGCAUUAGGAGUGCCUGAAGAAUGCUAUUAUAGUUUCACUAGACUCGUCUGAAGGUCGAUCACCGAGCCCCGGUGCUCCAUUUCUCAUUGUGUUCCUCUAUACAAUUCAAGACAGAUGACAAUUCACGAGUUUCAUGCGAGAGAAAGAGAUGGGAUAAGAAAAGAAAACACAACGUGCCAAGCUAAUAAUACCUUCAUCUAAUUUCCACACACGAAAGGUUGGGUAUUAGAAAUAUCAAAAAGCCAAAAGAAUAUAUAGUACUAGUGUUACUUACACAUACUCUGAACUAAGCAAAUACUAGCUAGCCCAUGCAUGCACAAAAUGUGAUUACAGUACCAAUCACACCAAAAUCUACAAAGAGACUCCUGGAUGACCAUUUAACUAAGAUAUGAAUCUAUGACAAAUCCCAGAGGAGCACCACGAAUACUUCCUCUGCGGGAAGGGGCCCGAUUCACCGUCAAUUGGACGUUGGGUGGUAUGUCGGUCUCAGAUGAAUGACCAGAAAUGCAGAGGGUUCCGGUAUCAUCCUGUUCCCAGUACACUUCCACCAUCAGUCCUCUCGGGUGCUCCGAUGAUUCUGUUCCUGGAAUCCCAACAAACCUAGCUCCUUUCGGGAUCUGCAUAGUCGCCAGCGGUGAGCAACGCUCCAAUUCUAGAUCUUUAAGUUUAGAAGACUAAAUGGAUUUACCAAUAUGACAAAACCAGCAACAACAUAAGGAUGAGAUACUUAUUUAAUAAUCUAAUCCGUUUGUACAACCUUCAAUUCUUAUCUUUCCAUCUUGUCAAUCAAACAAACAAAUCCAGUCCAUAUAAAUCUUUAAACAUAUACCCUACCCGUAGGGAACUUUACUGAUCGUUCCUAUCAAUUAGUCUGGAACCUAUCCUUCUUAAUUCUAGCAGACAUGUAUGCAGAAUUGCAACUAUGUUAUUCUGGCUUCUCUGUAUCGCUCAAUGACAUGACGAAUCUAAUAAGAGACUAAUUACUAAACUAAACCAUGCAGCAGAAAUACAGUUCCAUAACAAAAUCCUUAAAUGCUUUAGUAGAAUUCCUCACCUGAAUAGAAGGUCCGGAUGACAAGUUCAGAGUAACCAGAUUCUCCUCCAUGGAAGAGCUUUCCAGCUCAGCUUGUUUUGCUAUGUUUAGAAACACUUCCUCGAGGGUUGUUAGACCAAGUUGUAUGUCUGAAAUCCCAAAUUCUUCCUCUCUAUCUUGGAGCUCUGCAAAAAAAUCCUGCCACCAGAAAGGGAGCCAGAUAAGGGCCAUUGUAUAGAUCAGAAAAUGCAUCCAGCCAGCCAAGGUUGCAAAUAAAUUCAGAAUAUGGGAGCAUUAAGUUACCGUUAGAAGCCCCUCUUUUUGGUGGGGGAUGACAAAAGUUAAAAAUGUCAUGUUCUCUUCUUUAGGAUCCACAUCUAACCGCUGUUGAUUCCAUUCCUAUGUCAGGCUAUCUCCAGAAAACCAGAAAAGAAUCUUAAUUUAUAUUGUAUUGCACUUACAUCUUUGAAGAACUGCUUCACAGGCUCAAGGUGAGGAUUGCUUGUGGGUGCACUACCAUAAACGUUGGGAGUUUGACCAGGUGCAUUGCCAGGGAAACUCACAUUUGCAACAUAACCAGUCCCAAAUCUUGAUUUAAGUCGUAUAGAGGUUCCUAUACACCGCAAUUUUCCCUUAGCCAUGAUGGCUAUCCGGUCACUUAAAAUGUCAGCUUCCUCCAUGGAAUGGGUUGUCAAAACAAUAGCUCGUCCUCUUUUAGCAUCUUCUAUUAUGUCCCAGACAUGCCUUCGAGUGAUUGGAUCCAUACCAGUAGUCUGCAACAUAAGCCAACAUAACAAAAUUUCAAUUGAAAGACUUGGUGACAAAACAUAUGUACAACACUCUGAAGUGAGCCAUGGCUUUUCCCACCAAGGGGAAAUGGACAGUCUCAAUUGUCAAUCUACUAAAGGAUGUUAAUUUUAUGUGAAUAAAUAAAAUCUAUUAUGUGGAUGAUGCAUUACAAUAAAUUUACACCUAGUUAGUACUUAGAUUUGUCAACAUACUAUGGUACUAUUUAUCCAGUUGAUUAAUAUGCCUGGAACUGCAAGUAAAAGUUAAAAAAAUAAAGAGAUAAUUGAAUGAGCACUUUCAUAUGCCUUAAGACUCAUUAAAUCUAUUAUUUUGAAAUAGUUUAUUUAGCAAAGGAUCAAAAAAAUUAUCAACAACACAAAUAUCAAACAUUGAGUCAUUUUUAAAGAAAAUGAGAUAGCAUAAGAGAUUGCUCACAGAUUACCUUAUGACAGAAAAUGAGACAGCUAUUGCUGUACCUGUGCUUCUUAUGAAUUUUGUUUAUGCUCAUAAAUUAUCUAAAUUGUACAAAUAAAAUAGAUAUAACAAAUAUAUAAAGCACAAAUUUCUGUCUACAUGUUAUAUCUUGUUCUACUUGUAAGACUAGCUGUGUUUCACUGUUUUGGCAUGGGUAUGGUGUAUCGUGUCUAGUUCCGUGUCCAUGCUUCUCAUGGGUGGUUGGGACUCCCUAGCUCAUGUACCUUUAAUUUGCUUAUUGAUCACAUUUGUCUCUAAUCACUUCAGUAAAGUAGAAUGUUUACAGUAAUCUAAAGGAAGAGAGCGACAGAGAGACAAAAACAAGAAAAUUGUAGAUUCUUUUGGUCCUAAUAUUGUGUUUGUUAUUUAACUACAAGGAUUCCAGAAUUAGUUUCUGCAAAUUUCACAGCUUUGAACAAGCAACCUUCGUGAUUCCAUGCAAAUAUGCAUUCCUACGCAAGUGUUUAUAGAUUUCUUCAAGAAACUACGGUAGCAUAUAUUUAUGGCUAACUUUCAUCACAUACUGGCUCAUCCAAGAAAACCAUUUUUGGAUCCCCAAUGAGGGCUAUUGCAACACUGAGACGACGCUUCAUCCCUCCACUAUAGUUUCCAGAUCUAACUCGAGCAGCAGUAGUAAGUUUUACCUCUGCUAAUGACUCUUCAGCUACCUGCACCACCAUAUAGCAUAUUAUGAGAAGAAGAUACGUUGUUAACUUAGAGGAAUAAACCAUCCUGGCUAAAAAUGCUAUACGAAUCAUAUAAACCAUUUCCAGUUAAUAUAAGGUUUUUUAACUGAUAAAUAUUCAUUAAAAUUGUCAAUUUUAAACGUAGACAAGGGAUCUUCUUUGGUGAGAAGAGGCCCUUUGCCUGCCAAAAAAAAUUUGAUCUUAAAACUUAAUGUUCAUCAAUGCAGAUUAUAGAUAUUAUAUAGACAAAGAAGGACCAAAUGCUAGGAGGGUCUUCAGCACCCACCGAUUUUAUUGUUGAUGGAGGCAAACCUUUGAUACUAGCAAAUAAAUGCAGGUGUUCUUGAGCUGAUAAUUCAUCCCAUAAGAUAUCAAACUGGCAAAUAGAGAACCACAGACCAGACUUUAAUUAGUUUCCCUUUCUAAACAGUCAAAAGUAGGUAUUCGCUAUCUUAUCAACCUAUUAUUGGGAUGAAAUGAAGCAUACCUGGGGACAAACUCCUAUCAUCCUUCGAAUAUUUGACAUACCCACUGAGCUCCGAACUGAAUAUCCAUGAAUUAAUGCUGUAAGCAGAUAAAAUGACUUAGCAACAUGGCAUUUCUUCUGUUCACACAUAAUGGAAGGAUAGAUUAAUAACGCAAGAUUAUUCUACCAUCUCCUGCUGUAACCGGUGUAACACCAGUAAGGCAAUUAAUCACAGUGGUUUUCCCAGCUCCGUUAGGUCCAAGAAGGCAAAACAGCUGGUCUUUUGCAAGGUUUACCCAUAUUCCCUAAGUUUCAAUACAGUAUUAUGAAAUGUUCAAGCAAUACAUGCAUGGCAUCUAUAAGUUCUGGCACAAACUGACAAGUGAAAUGGUAAAAAGAGGAAAUACCUUGACAGCAUGAUAUGGUGAAGAUCUCUGGCACUUGCAACAACCAAUUUUCAUAGUUCCAGGAUAUGUUUUUGUUAGACCACGUAUUUGAACUGCAACAUUUGGAUCAACUUCAUUAGUAGCAGCUUGCUGCUUUACACUAGUUUCCUCUGCUAGGACAUCCUCAUCACUUGGAGUAGCAUCAUCCAAUGGUGGAAUUGAACCAGAACAGCUACAGAGACUACCUUCUGAUGUACAGAGAAUGAAUAUUUUAGAAUCCUCUGAAUUCAUACUACAUAUGGAGCAAUAAUAAAUUUGAAAAAUAGAAAAAUUGGUCAUACCUUCCACCCUGUUUCCAUCAUUCCCAGUCCAGUAUGAGGGAUUCAGAAAAUAAAACAUUGAUUUUCUCACACCAUUUGAGUUUGGAAUAAUAUUGUCAAAGUAAAUUGCCAAAAUGAACCACACAAAGAAUGUUGAUAUGAGCCAUUUAUAGAUAUCUUCCUGUUAAAUAUAUAUGAUUAUCAUCAUACCUAACCAUCAUAAAGAAGAUAACAGCAAACUUUACGCUCAGAAUGAACUCAUAUCAUACAAUAGUUAUAGUGCAGUCAGGUUCAUAUGUAGUGCAUUCUCCACGCCUGCCCCAACUAAUUCCUUCAUCUUCAGAAGUAGCUGUCUCAUUGCCUAGCAAGUCAAGAGCUUUGGCAAGAAGGUUGGGGGGAAAUAGAGACCAUAUAACUCGAUAGAGUUUUGUGAAGUUGCUAUCAUAUGGAAACCCGAAUACUGUAACAAGCUGUGGUGACAAGAUAUGUUAAUUCAAUUUUCAAUCUGUACAGUAAGAUGCAUUAUCAAGCUUGCGAUUAUCAAUAUGAAAACUUCACCUGAGUCAAAAAACCGAUUAUGAAUAUUGAGAACCCAACUGUAUUUGCUGAUGAUGACUUACUGACGAAGGCUGAUAUCAUAAAAGCAAAACUUAGCUGCAAAAAAUAGAUUGUGUAAGAUUCAAGGAAUAUUGGCACAAACAUGUAGAAUAAGCAAGGAAAUUUUGGAAAGAUGAUUCAUAUCCAAACUAUCCUAAUCAAAUGCCAUACAUAUGCUAGAGAAAAAAUUACCAUAUUAAGUUGGAAAAGGAAGAACAAGAGAAACAGAACAGCAAAACUGUUAUGCAAGAAAAAGUUGAAUUGAAACAUCAUCCCGAACAGGACUGUGAAAAGUGCUGCAACCACCGUCAGAAAAGCCUCCCAUGUAAACCAAGAAAGCCAAUAAGCAGAAUCAUAUAGGCCCAUUAUGGACAUAGCCUGCAAAUACUUAAAAGAAUGAAUCAUUAGCAUUUUGAAUUUGCAAGUAGGAGAGGUCAACAGAUGAAAACCUCAAGACCAAGAUAAGCAUUACAACCUGACGAAGUUUAAGUUCUUUUUCAGUGACCAAAGAGCUAAUUUGAAAUACAAAACCAAACAUGGCGAUCGCAAGGAAGAAGGUCGGUCCUGCAGUACCAACAGCAGAAAAAGUUUCUGUGGCCGGGUGAGCAAACUCCUUGAACCCCACCGUCCACUUAAAAUUUGGAUCUGCAGUAAGAAAAUCCUAAUAAGUAAUAGAAACAAAGUGAAAGUAAAUCAGCAAUCAAAUUAGUGAAUGAUAACCUACAGGAUUCUCAAGUUUCAAGACAUCAAGAAGGGCAUUGAGAAGUUUAUGACAGCACAGAAAGUCAUUUAAGAAGCUGUUUUUGCUUUCAUUUGAAGUGAUUAUCUUAUAAUACAUUAGCAGAUAUUUGUGUAUUACUGAAUUAAUGUCAACAAAUUCAAGCUUGCUCAAGAUAGAUGUAGUUAUAGAUUGAGUUUAGAAGCUACCAAGUAUGACUUAUCAAACAUUCAAAGAUCAGCAAACAGAAAAUGUCUAUAGCACCUCCAAUCAAGGAUCUAGAGAUUUCACGCUCUGCAGCAAUCUGAAGUGGGAUUUGAAAUUUGAAAGUAGGGUCCUCAUAGCUUCCUCGUUUGGCUACAGCAGUAGAAUUCGUCUGGAUUCCAUAGCUUAUGACAGUCGAAUUCCUCUCCACAAAAUGCAAAGCACCUGGGCACCGCAUAGGAUUGCUUUCAAGCCAUGCAUCCACUUCAGCUUGAGUUCCGAAAGAUUUGACCUAUAAUAUUGAUGUGUAGAUCACUUCUUUCAGAAGUACUAAAAAACAAUUACAAUGGCUAUCUUAAAUGUUUCAUUGGAAAAGAAAAGUGAUGGUGUAUCUAAUACAGUUGUGGGCUAACAAACUAGCAAACUUGGGAACACGUAUAUAAAGCUCAAGAACAAAGAACUGCAGCUUAAAGACAACAAAAGAUUGGCACAGAACAAAGCUAUUCUGGAGAGAUGGAAGACUAAAACAGUCUUCCCGGCUUAUGCCAUGCAUCAUAGUGUUUAGUCACAUUGACUACAAGACCAGUAGCAGGAGGAAGAUUAAAAUUUUGACUAUCUAUCUGGCUUACUUAUGCAAGAAAAACAGUAGGAAUGUGGAGAUUAUCAGCAUUUGAACAAUCAAAACCAUAGAUACUAGAAAAUACCCUGUCCUCGAGUCCAAAGGCAUAUUCCUUAAAUUACUACUAACUACCAAGAGAUUGGGAACAUUAAAUAUUGAUUAAAGGAAAAUAGGGAUGAAAGGGUGGAAUUCUUUAUUGAAUGUGAUGGAUUCUUAUAUACUAAACUUGAUUGUGCAAGUGUAGGAUAUGCCAUUAAGAAUGCAAGGGGAGGUUUGGUGGCUGCUGGAUGUACCAACUGCAGAGUUCAAGGUGCUAAGCAGGCUGACUGCAGAGCAAUCAGUGAGGAUCUUUAAAGGGCUGAAAGCAAACUGUGCGUCGAAUCAGGUGCCUUGGAGAUAAUUCAUUAUAUCAACAAUCAAAAGCCAUGGCCUUGGAGGUUGAAGAGUAUGGGAGAUGACAUUAGAAGAAUUAGUUCUAAUGUGAAUGUUAUAAGUUUUGUUUACAUUCCUAGGCAAUUUAAAUCUCCUGACCCAUAGUAUUGCCAAACUCAGUAGCAGAUUACACUUUCUUGCGUAUGGGAAGCUGAAGCUUCCUCAUUUUUGUGUACUAAUGCUUGUAUCGAACAAAACAGAGAAAAAGGAAAUCGAUGGCAGACCUACUGUUUUAUUCACUCAAUUCCUUCAACUUUAUAAAAGAAAAAUUAGAUAACGCAAUCAAGCUGUCCAGUAAUUAGACGAUAAAUACGGAUCACCAUGACUGCUGUUUUCGAUAGCACGUUUUCAGUAAUCUACUCGAAGAAAAUAAUAGAAGUUCCUUUCGAUUCCCUGCAAAGCCAAUUCGCCAAAGAACCAGUACUAUAACAAGGUAAAUCAGGAGGAACGGGUAGGAGAAUUUCCAAGGCCCUACCACCAGAAAUAAAUGAUAACAAGAACUGACCUUCUCGGCGGGGAUUUCCCUGCCGGGGUUAUUCUUCAUAAUGGCGGAGACGAUGGUGGCGAUGCGGGCGCUGGCGUUGCCGCUCCAGAUGAAAUCGUGGCAGGGGGUUUUGACGUAGAACUUGUCUUCGCAGGGGGGGAUGGGGGGCAGGAUGAGGGGCUGGGGGUCGUGGACGUUCUUGUAGGCGGUGGUAGAGGAGAAGCGGGACUUGACUGCCUUGUCGAUGCAGAAGAUGAGAAAGAUGAAGAAAAGGGAGGAGAAGAGCUGGAGGAAGGCGGACUUUUUGUGGCGCCACGUCAAGAUGAAGUUCUUCCUCAGCAAGGCCGCAUACUGUUGCGUGAUCAGGGGUACGCCGCUAUUCAGCUCCAUGGGAGGGACGAGAGAAGGCCCUUCUUCUGCCUGUUCCCUAUGCCAAGAACCGCCGGAGGAGGCGGCGAAAGUAUGGAGGGGGAAGCGUUUCACUUUGGACUUCGGAGGGGGAGGAGAUUACUGGAAGGGGCCAUUUAUAAAUGACUUCAUAAACAUAGACGACGGAGGGCUCUUUGGGUUGACUCAUCGCCGGGAUCGGGAUUGUGGUACGGGGCGAUCGCCGCAAGUACUUUCAAGUUGGAAUUUUCCAUGGCAUUGAUUGAUGGUACGCGACAAACCAACGAUUUCCGUAGGUAUUUGAAGCUCUUGAUUAAAACCCUGCUCAGUUUAUUUUCCUUCUUAGAUUCUUGAUUUGAGGGAGUGUUGGAAGGUGAGAUUUGGAUGAUGCAUUUCUUAACGAUGCACAUUUUGGAGUGAGAGUUUGGUUAAGAUAUCGAUAUUUCAAACCCCCAAAGAGAGGAAAUGUAGAUGGGGUCCAUGAAACUGGGGAGGUACCAAUUUGGGUAUUUGGCACAUUUGACACCGACUGCACCGUUUCUUCUAUUCUAUUCUAUAUAUAUAUAUAUAUAUAUAUAUAUAUAUAUAUAUAUAUAUAUAUAUAUAUAUAUAUAUAUAUAUAUAUNNNNNNNNNNNNNNNNNNNNNNNNNNNNNNNNNNNNNNNNNNNNNNNNNNNNNNNNNNNNNNNNNNNNNNNNNNNNNNNNNNNNNNNNNNNNNNNNNNNNNNNNNNNNNNNNNNNNNNNNNNNNNNNNNNNNNNNNNNNNNNNNNNNNNNNNNNNNNNNNNNNNNNNNNNNNNNNNNNNNNNNNNNNNNNNNNNNNNNNNNNNNNNNNNNNNNNNNNNNNNNNNNNNNNNNNNNNNNNNNNNNNNNNNNNNNNNNNNNNNNNNNNNNNNNNNNNNNNNNNNNNNNNNNNNNNNNNNNNNNNNNNNNNNNNNNNNNNNNNNNNNNNNNNNNNNNNNNNNNNNNNNNNNNNNNNNNNNNNNNNNNNNNNNNNNNNNNNNNNNNNNNNNNNNNNNNNNNNNNNNNNNNNNNNNNNNNNNNNNNNNNNNNNNNNNNNNNNNNNNNNNNNNNNNNNNNNNNNNNNNNNNNNNNNNNNNNNNNNNNNNNNNNNNNNNNNNNNNNNNNNNNNNNNNNNNNNNNNNNNNNNNNNNNNNNNNNNNNNNNNNNNNNNNNNNNNNNNNNNNNNNNNNNNNNNNNNNNNNNNNNNNNNNNNNNNNNNNNNNNNNNNNNNNNNNNNNNNNNNNNNNNNNNNNNNNNNNNNNNNNNNNNNNNNNNNNNNNNNNNNNNNNNNNNNNNNNNNNNNNNNNNNNNNNNNNNNNNNNNNNNNNNNNNNNNNNNNNNNNNNNNNNNNNNNNNNNNNNNNNNNNNNNNNNNNNNNNNNNNNNNNNNNNNNNNNNNNNNNNNNNNNNNNNNNNNNNNNNNNNNNNNNNNNNNNNNNNNNNNNNNNNNNNNNNNNNNNNNNNNNNNNNNNNNNNNNNNNNNNNNNNNNNNNNNNNNNNNNNNNNNNNNNNNNNNNNNNNNNNNNNNNNNNNNNNNNNNNNNNNNNNNNNNNNNNNNNNNNNNNNNNNNNNNNNNNNNNNNNNNNNNNNNNNNNNNNNNNNNNNNNNNNNNNNNNNNNNNNNNNNNNNNNNNNNNNNNNNNNNNNNNNNNNNNNNNNNNNNNNNNNNNNNNNNNNNNNNNNNNNNNNNNNNNNNNNNNNNNNNNNNNNNNNNNNNNNNNNNNNNNNNNNNNNNNNNNNNNNNNNNNNNNNNNNNNNNNNNNNNNNNNNNNNNNNNNNNNNNNNNNNNNNNNNNNNNNNNNNNNNNNNNNNNNNNNNNNNNNNNNNNNNNNNNNNNNNNNNNNNNNNNNNNNNNNNNNNNNNNNNNNNNNNNNNNNNNNNNNNNNNNNNNNNNNNNNNNNNNNNNNNNNNNNNNNNNNNNNNNNNNNNNNNNNNNNNNNNNNNNNNNNNNNNNNNNNNNNNNNNNNNNNNNNNNNNNNNNNNNNNNNNNNNNNNNNNNNNNNNNNNNNNNNNNNNNNNNNNNNNNNNNNNNNNNNNNNNNNNNNNNNNNNNNNNNNNNNNNNNNNNNNNNNNNNNNNNNNNNNNNNNNNNNNNNNNNNNNNNNNNNNNNNNNNNNNNNNNNNNNNNNNNNNNNNNNNNNNNNNNNNNNNNNNNNNNNNNNNNNNNNNNNNNNNNNNNNNNNNNNNNNNNNNNNNNNNNNNNNNNNNNNNNNNNNNNNNNNNNNNNNNNNNNNNNNNNNNNNNNNNNNNNNNNNNNNNNNNNNNNNNNNNNNNNNNNNNNNNNNNNNNNNNNNNNNNNNNNNNNNNNNNNNNNNNNNNNNNNNNNNNNNNNNNNNNNNNNNNNNNNNNNNNNNNNNNNNNNNNNNNNNNNNNNNNNNNNNNNNNNNNNNNNNNNNNNNNNNNNNNNNNNNNNNNNNNNNNNNNNNNNNNNNNNNNNNNNNNNNNNNNNNNNNNNNNNNNNNNNNNNNNNNNNNNNNNNNNNNNNNNNNNNNNNNNNNNNNNNNNNNNNNNNNNNNNNNNNNNNNNNNNNNNNNNNNNNNNNNNNNNNNNNNNNNNNNNNNNNNNNNNNNNNNNNNNNNNNNNNNNNNNNNNNNNNNNNNNNNNNNNNNNNNNNNNNNNNNNNNNNNNNNNNNNNNNNNNNNNNNNNNNNNNAUUGGUCAACUGGGUUUGGGAUGCAUGGGUCAUUUCCGGAAAGUGAUUGGGUACCAUCGUCAAGAUGCAGCGUCAAGGUUGCAAAGGGUGCCCUGGGAAUUUGAAGUGGAACCGUAACUCCACGAACUCACGCGCCCUUCGAUGGAAGGACUUCCUUACGUCCACGCUUGGAGAACAAUGCGAGCCAGUCCUGCUUGCCUUGCACCGCUUCGUCCCUGAGUUUACUUUUGCUGGUUGCUCAUCGGACUUCCAACGCGCUACUGCAGGAGCAGUUUUCUGCAUUCUAAAUUCCGCCUUCCCGAGUCUCACUGUCAUGUCUCUCAAGAAAUUUGGACUUCUCAGUUUAAAAAUGCUAGUGGACACCCGCACCUGCCCACGUCCCACAGCAGAAGUUUCAUGCUUCCUUCGUUUCGUCUUGAGUUCCUUCUUCUUCUCAGUGCAACAAGUGAAUUGCUUUCACACCACGAUACGAGAUGCAGGGGAAUCAUUUUCUUAUUCAUCAUCUCAGUGCAACGAAAGCCUGAACCUGCAUUUUUUUUUCUUUUCGGUGCACCUUCUUCGAUCUUAUUUAUGCAAAGACAAUGACCAUGUAAUGUAUCUGCCAAUCCCUGCUACAGCCUUGGCGUCUUCUAAUAACCAGGAUCGAUCAGUACAGUUGAAGAGAUCAAGUCUAUGUUAUUAAUAAGCAAGGAACUAUGUACGUAUGUGCGUAUGUAUGUAUGUAUUAACGCGUUCCAAAUUUACCGCUUCGUUCGACAUCUUCUGCAAUAGACAUCUGAAACGAAUGUUCUUCAUGCGAAGUUGCACAGAAACGAUCAAAACUUUGGCAGUAUGACCACGUCUCGGACGCUCCAGUAACCAACGGAGAGAUAGGCGGUACGUGCGUCAGAUUGGCGUUACCGUAAACUUCUCCGAGCAUUCCAAAAUCCUGGUGGAACGGAGACGAGUGCUAAAGAACGCAAUCAGAUUCAAACUAUUUGUUCCAAUCUGCGGUCAAGCAGCUGUAUAUCCCCAUAUAUCUGAUUUAUUCCACGUUCAUAAACCUACUUCAAGUCGCAGGGUGUGAUGUUGUCUCGCUGUCAAGAUAUCGAUGCUGAACUUUCUGCAUGAUUAAUGUUUCUUGUGGUGAUGGAGUAGGUAACUCAAUUAUAUUAGUGAUUCAGUCAACUAUCACGUCCUUGUCGGCCCUUCGGAUGGGUGAAGGCUGUCGAUGUAGCAUGACGUAUCUAUACACGUCCAUGUCUAUUAUAUUACCCCUUUACCUGUUCAUUUUAUCCUUUGAGUGAAAUUCCAAGCUUGACUGACCGGCCCUGUUGAAUGAUGCCAUGGGAAUGCAAUAUGAGUUGCUUGUGCGUGAAGGAACCUAAAAUAAUAAUAAGAUAUAUAGGAAAUAGAUCCCGAGAUUUCUGUUUAAGAGAAGCCUUAAUUACUCUAAAUCUGUUGCUUUGCGAUAUCUGCUCCGAUGUUCUUUCAUCCAAAUGGUUAGAGUCGGAGAGAAAUGCGAAGAGUUGUGAUCGCUUCUCUUCCUCUCACCUCCCUGAUGAGAUUGUGGAAGUUAGCAUAGAGAAAGAGAUGGCUUCUGCUCCGCUGUUGUGAUCGUUUCUGAGAUGUUGCGCUUUGACUUGGGUGUUACAACAAGAACGCUGUUAAAUCUUGUUACGCAAAACCAUGAAAGAUGAUGGCUUGUGCUCCGCUGUAGUUUGACUUCUUCGUUCUAUGAUCGUAUGAAGGCGUGAGAGAUGACUCUUCGUCAUCACUUAAACUCAGCUCAUCAAAGUUAGCAGAUUUGAUUCUUGGAGGAGAAGUUAGUGACUUGCGUUAAAAAAUACUCCGACGUUGAAACUGGAGUGAUGUGUGUAGCUUAGACUCGAGCAUUAAUUAAGGAAAUCAACACACUAGUUCUUGAUUUUGAACGUAGCAGUUGGUUUUCACAUUGGUAGAGUUGCGUGUGUACAGGAUUUUGGAUACAUAUGGUUGACUUGUAUCUCACUGUGUCAGCCAUCAUGAGCUCAUGGGAUACAUUCGAUGCUUCGUGGCCAAGUUGGUACUGCUGGUUAGUCAUUCUAAGCAUAUGAGCGCUGAAUAUUCAAACUGGUGUGCACAAGGAAUUGGACGUCAAACUUUGAACAUCUCACCUACUUUACUCGAGCUUAUGUCCAGGAUGUUUUAUAGUUGUUACUUUGACUUCUAACUUGCGUUCUGAGGCCGCAACGUGCGAUAGGUUGCAACCAGUUGACUUUUGGUGAUAAUAGUGUUUAUCGUCGUCGUUUUCAGAAGACUACACCCUCUCUGAAGAACACAGUCCACUAAAAAUGAACGGAACGGAACAAAUCUGUGGCUGUUUCGAAGCUGAAACGUGGCAUUAUACUGUACCGUCGGUGAAGAAGAAGGCAAUGCUCGAUGGACUGUUCUUAUUUGAACGCCUUACAUAUGUUAGGCACCGAGAUUUGGAUAAGCACGUUGAUGAUGAUAUAUGAGGGUGGAACCUCUUAAUCGGUCGUGAUUGCAACAUCAAAUGAAUGUAUGACUGGUCUGAGAGGUGCCGUAGCGUUGAACUUGUCGUUAUAACGGAAUGACGAGCGAGCGAUACUGGAGAUGAUGGUAUAGAACGAAGUAGAUGUGAUGAAACAUCACAACUCGUCACCCAGUCCAAACCCCCCACCAUCUCGGAAAUUUCUGCGGUCUUCACGGCCAUUGGUUCCCGGCGUGGAGUUUUCGCCGGGAGGACGAGAACAAAACUCCAUCUAUCAUCAUCGUUAUUUUUAUUUUGCUCAUGCCGUCACGUGGUUGCGAUGUGACCCACAUCACAAUCCGACAUCCACCAGGUUGAUAAUACCAAGCCCCAAAAUCCAACUUCGAGCUUCCACCGUCCGGUCUUGCCCCCAAUCUUUCAUUGGUCCUCGCUUGCUUCUGCAGGUUGUUCUGAGAAAUUUCCCUCUCGGUCCCGGAGAGAGUCGCGGCUAUAAAAGUCAUCAUCGAGAACCGAAACACGCAAGGAUCAGAGCAGAGGCCACGAGGGAAGAACAACCCUAACCCAACUAAAAAUUAACAUGGUUUAUCACUCCCUUUCGCGGGCGUGAAGGAGGAGGAGAGAAGAAACAGUAGAUGGAGUCAAUCUCCUCCGCCGCCUCUUCCUCUCGCCGUCCUGCCAGCUUCUUCACCCAAGCCAAUGCUCUCCUUCGCAAGAAUCUCACCUUCCAGGUUUCGCCUCUCUCUCUCUCUCUCUCUAUCUGUCUCUCGGGGAUGAAUAAAGAAUCAAGUCAUGAAAUGGAUUGCAAUUCGAUGAACGGUUUUGUCUUAUGUUAUUUUUCUUCUUUCUUUCUUUGGAUCAUGCAAGUCUUUUAAUUAACUGAUUACUGUACUCAUGUGCUCUUCCAAACCCCGCAGAAACGGAACCUGAAGACCAACAUCGGGAUCGUCGCGUUCCCCAUCUUUAUCUGCGUCCUGAUCGUCCUCAUUCAGCAAGUGAUCAACAACGAGCUGAACAAGGAUAAGUUCCAAUGCGGGUGCCAGGGAGGCGACUGCGGCCUCCAGUACUCGACGCUGGAUCAGGUCGACACUUGCCCCAUUUCAAGCCCUCCUGAGUGGUCCGCUCUCAUCCAAGUUCCUCGCCCCCAGUAUCGCGCCGUCAGAACUGACUUUUCUCAAUCUGCCGACUUGCCCGAUGAGUCCUGCAGAGCUUCCCAGUCCUGUCCCGCGGCAGUGCUCCUCACUGGCGGUAACCGAUCCCUCGCGCAAAGUAUGUGAUGCUCACCCGAUGAAUUUGUCUCUUUUGGCUGAUGCCAUCAAGCAACGAUCUGCUACGAAUGAAUAACUUUGAACUUGAUUCAUCAUUGAUAGGUCUAGCGCAGAGUCUGUUUCUAAGCUCUUCCUCUGCGUUGAAUUUCUCGGAUUAUCCCAGUAGUUUGUCGAAUGUCAUCCUCGUAAUAUUCUUCUCUCUUGUUUUUUUCUUUUUGUAUAUUUGACUCACCCACUUGAGUAAGUCCUUGGCUUGUUUGUUGUCGUUGUUCAUAAAUUGAGCCAUUUUUACUCUUUCUUUGAUCUUUAGGGGACGGAUACACCUACCGAGAACACACAAUUCAUUGAACCAGCUUUUGUCUCUGACAGGCCCUUUUAUGUAGUCCAACCGCAAUGCACAACAAACGCAACAAGUCCAAUUUCGUUUAAAAACGCCAACAUAUCGAUUGAGCUAGGUAGGGAUUUUUUUUCUUGCUUAUGUACAAGGCUACCUAGUUUUCUUCGCAUCACCUUUUCAAAUUAUAAAUUUAUCUGAGAUAUGGUUUAUUUAAAUUAUUUCACUAUGAUGCAAUUCUUAUCUAUAAACCUCACCUUUGUGGUUCUGUUUAUAUCGAAAACAAUUUUAUCUCAGCAGCCACAUAGUAUGUUAAAGAGGAACACUCUACUUUCUCCUCUUUUAUACAACAGAAGAAAAGACAGGUCUUGUGCCCAAGAAUAUAGACAAGAAAAUUGUUUGUGUGAUGCUUACUUCAUAUCCUUGUCGAUUGCUUGUAUGUAACGUCUUGCUGAUUUCUCAAAACUGAAGAAACAAGCUACUCACUAAUUCUCUCUCACCAAUUCACUCUUUUUUUUUUUUGAGGUGCCAAAAUGAAGAACAUACAACUUUAAGAUCUAAUUUUUAUAUCCUUGAUAUUUGAAAAAUCAUGAUGCUCAACAGUAUAAAAUUUGUCAAGCCAAAUACUGAUGUCUGAAGAAAUUAAAGAAUUUUUCAAACACUUCUUUAGAGGAGCUAGCAGAAAAAACCUUAUAUACAAGCUUUCUGGCGCUUGCUAAGAUAUGAAUGUAACCAUCUCCUCACAACAUGCAUAGACUUAUGCUCCUUAUUCGUAAUUAGGUUCAUGAUCCGUAGGUUAGUAUUAGACCAUUGUUUUUCUUACAUAAUGCCAAUAUUUAUUUAUUAGCUUUCUGAAUUUUUUGAUAUCCUGUUUGAUCACUAUGAAAUGAAGAUUUGGAAGCACAAUUGAAGUUCCUGUUUUAGCUAACGACCAAAAAAACGUAUGGACACUUCCAUUUAUGUUUUGAGUUAUUUUUUCCACAAUAAAGUUUUAUAGUUAUUAAAUUAAGUCAAUCUACAUUAGAAAUUUAUUUGGGAUUUUUAUCAUGUUUCGUAAGUUACAAAUAAUAACACUGAUGCAGGAUAUUAUUUAUAACUUAUGAACUCGCAUGCGAUAGAAGUCUAAUUGGAACAAAAAGUCUUUUUAUGGCAAGAAUUAUCUUGUUGUGAAAUUAUAACCAUCUUAUCUUGUAUAAAAACAACCGUCGAGUUUAUGUAUGGGAGGUCUCUUGAAGAACAGAACCACAAACAGUUGGUACAUCUUCUCUUGUCUUUUUGCAGUAUAGAUGAAGAUGGUCAAAGAGCCACAUCAUGAAAAAGUAAAGGGAAAUAAAAAUCAAUGUACAUUAUUUUACAUGAUAUUGGUGGAAAGGAGUUAAUAAAGUGGAAAAAUAAUUUCAAAGAUGCAUUAGAAUAUUAGUUCUUGUGAGUAAAUCUUAGAAAAAUUACCAUCAUGUUCUUUCUGCAAACUUCAGUAUU